GAUGUCUUGCUAAUUCAAUGUUUUGACAGGAGCGUCCGGUGUAAUUUCAUCGAUUUUUAGAUUUUGAUCGUAUCUAAGAGAUCCUAUUUUAUCUGGGUUGCUAACUCAAUGGUAGAGUACUCGGCUUUUAAGUGCGGCUAUGAUCUUUUACACAUUUGGAUGAAGCAACAAAUUCGUCCAGACUUUUGGUAGAGUCUAGAAGACCACGACUGAUCCUCAAAGGUAAUGAAUGGAAAAAAUAGCAUGUCGUAAUAAAAUCAAUUUCUUUUUUUUUAUAAAAAAAAGAAAUUGAUUUUCUGGGUCUAGUGAAUAAAUGGAUAGAGCCUGGCUCUAAUUCUGGUAAAAUAAAAAAAAGCAACGAGCUUAACUUCUUAAUUGGUUAAUUGGAAGGAUUCCCCGAUCUAAUUCAAAUGUUUGUUUUAGCAAAAAUAGGCUUGGCUAGUCAAAUAUCAAUAAUAAAAUUAUGCUAACGUAUGAAAAGAUGUGUACUCUCAUAUUCAUCUUGUGAAUUAGAUCGAAUACUAAGUGCUUAUGAAGCAUGAGCCAAAGUAGUGUGCCUGAUAUUGAUUUCUAUCUUCUCAUGACCACAAUGAUUCUUUCUACUAGGUUAGAAUCAGUGACAUAGGUAGGUGGUCUGACCUAAAAUACAGCUAGCAAUGAUUUGUUUUCUCUAUUUUUUAUUUUUUAGAGGGGGGACAUAUUAAAGACAUUUUUAAUUAAACAAGGUGCGUGAAAAAACAUAUGUGUGAAUAACAACAAACAAUUUUUUUGUUUCACGUGCAAAAAUGAUGUGAAAGCUAAAGAGAAAAAACUGAUGUUAGAAGAGGCAUCGAAAUAGAUAAGGGCGACCAUGAAACCUUGCAUAUCUUUAAAAUAGAGAAAGUGUAAACCAUAGCUAUAGAUGUAGGUAGAGAUUUAUAUGAGAUAGAAAUAUGAAGAUAAAGAUAGAUAUGUGUUUUGGGGUUAGAAAAUGAUACGGGAAUUAGUUCUAAUAUGCAUAAGUUCUAAAUAGGUAUAAUGUUAAAAUGUGUUAAAAGAUGAAUUUAAUGUCAUUUAUUUUUGGUAAUAUUAGUAUCAUAUUUUUUAUAAUGCUUGGUCAAAAUCAAGAUAGCAUGACUUAGAUAGAACUAUCACGUUGUUUGGCUAGCUCAUUUAUUGGUGUGAUCCGAUCAAACUGCUAGCUAUGUUGUUUAUUGUUUGCUUCAGGGACCAUGCAAUCAUAUAGCGAGUGAAUGGAUAUAGGCCUUCAAUGUGUCGGUUACGCCCGAUGGUUGGAAAUUGUUCACGCUCACGCUCUGCAACAGACAAAGACAAUGACUGAACCAAAUAUAGUAAUUAAAUAUUCCCUUUACAUUUCCACUACACAACCCUUCUAUUUACGUUAACAUUGCUUCUAUGAACCAAACAACACCUAUAAAGCUAAGUUGUUUACGAUGAAGAUAUUAGGAUCUUGGUUUUGUGCGUCUUACAUGUCAUCUUAGGUUGAAUGAGCUACUGCAUCUUUGUGUGGUGAUAUGUGCACUACCAAACGUUUGUUUUUAGCUAAAAGAGUCAAGUAACAAUAAUAAAAUUAUGAUGCUAACGUACGAAGAUAUGUGUACCCAUAUUCAUCUUGUGGAUUAGAUUGAAGGCUAAGGGUUUGUGAAACAUAAGCCAAAGUAGUGUGUCUGACAUUGAUUUCUAUCUUCUCAUGGAUUGUCACCACACUGAUUCUUUCUGCUAGGAUGGAAUCGGUGACAUAGAUAGACGAUAUAACCUAAUGUAGUUAGCACUGACUUUUUUCUCCAUUUUUAUUUUUUAGAGGAAGUAACAUACCGAGAUGAUUUUUUGUUAAAUAAGAUGCGUGACAAAAACAUGUGUGAAUGACAACAAAUAAUUUUUUUGUUUCACGUGCAAAACUGACAUGAAAGCUAAGGAGAAAAAAAUGAUGUUGGGAGAGGCGUCAAAAUGAAUAAGGACAACCAUAAAACCUUGCAUAUAUUUUAAAUAGAAAAAAUAUAAACCAUAGCUAAAGAGUUGAUAGAGAUGUAUAUGUGAUAAGAAUAUAAAGGUAAAGAUAGAGAUAGAUACGUGUUUUGCGGUUAGAAAAUGCUAUGGGAAUUAGUUCUAAUAUACAUAAGUUCUAAAUAGGUAUAUUGUAUAUGUUAAAAGAUGAAUUUUAUGUUUGUUUAUUUUGUUAAUAUAAAUAUCAUAUUUUUUAUAAAAGGUUAGUCAAAAUUAAGACAAUGUGACUUAGUUAGAACCAUCAUGCUUUUUGGUUGGCUCGUAUAUCAUAUGAUCCGAUCACUUUGCUAACUACUUGUGUUGUUUAUUGUUUGUUUCGAGGACCAUGCAAUCGGAUAGCGGGAACAGAUACAAGCAUUCAACGCGCCGGUUACGUCCGAUGGUGGAUACAAUGAAUGAACCAAAUAAAAUUAGUAAUUAAUGAUUCCCUUUACAUUGUCAUUUUGCGGAAGAUAGUGACUAAACCAAAUAAAAUUAGUAAUUAAUGAUUUCCUUUAUAUUGCCAUUUGCGGAACCCUUCCAUUUGCGUUAAUGUUGCAAUUAUGGAACCAAACAACACAUAUAAAGGCAAGUUGUUUAGGAUGGAAAUAGUAGGAUCUUAGUUUUGUGCAUCUCACAUGUCAGUCCACUUAAACUGUGUCUGAUUAGUUAUUUUUUAUUAAUGAAUUAAGUAAUUAGGUGUUUAAGUGUUUGGACUAGGUACCCUAGGGAUAUGCUUUUAACAUGGAGCGGCCCUAAGGCCUUGUUUAGUUCCAAAAAAUUCUAGAAAAUCGACACUGUAGCAUUUUCGUUUGUAUUUGACAAAUAUUGUCCAAUCAUGGACUAACUAGGCUCAAAAGAUUCGUCUCGUCAAUUCCGACCAAACUGUGCAAUUAGUUUUUUUUAUUUUCGCCUAUAUUUAAUACUCUAUGCAUGCGUCUAAAGAUUCGAUGUGACGGGGAAUCUGAAAAAUUUUGCAAAAUUUUUUGGAAACUAAACAAGGCCUAAAUAGAAGCAUAGAACUUUAAUUUUGUACAUCUUUCGUAUCGUCGAGCUGAGCUGUCAACGACCCACACAUGGAAAACUCGCUGGUUUUGCCCACCCACAGAAACAGGAUACCCUAUUUCCGGGUGCCGCCUACCAUUUUCCAUAUCUACAAAUACCCAGAGGGGCGGCCCUUGGCAGCGCCACACGAAGAAACCCAAAAUUCCAACGCGCACCCACUCCUAAACUGAAACUCCAGAGUCCAACCGCGACGCGAGCACACACAGACAGCCAGACAGGAAGAGCGAGCGAGAGAAAACAGAGUGCGACGAAGAGGGAGAGAGAGAGAGAGCAAAACCCAAACCCUAACAAUCAUUUCCAGGCCCCCGCCCCCGGCGUCUCCAGAACGUUCCAGAACCUUCAAGGAACCAUCCACAGGCGAGGCCUCGCUCCCCGCCCGGAUUUCCCAUUUCCACCUUGCCGGCGCGGCGGGAUCCUGACACUGGCGCUGUCUGCUGGGGUUUCGUGUAGGAGCAGGCGCGAGCGCGGGUGUUUGGAUCGGGGGAGGCAACGCUGGCGGCUCGCGGCGGCAGCAGCUGAUGGCGGAUCCGCCUAGCGGUGGGGGAUCUAGGGCUUGUGUCUGCAGGGAGAGACAGGUCGAGGAGGCAGCGGCGGGGCUGGGGUUGGGGCUGGGGCUCGGGACAAGGGAGCAGGGGAGGAGGGAGGGAGGAUGCUGAGCGUGGUCCGGGUGCACCUGCCGUCGGAGAUCCCGAUCGUGGGCUGCGAGAUCACGCCCUACGUGCUACUGCGACGGCCCGACGGUGCAGUCUCCACCGAGGAUGUCCCAGAAACGGCGCCCGCUGAUGGCCAGUUCAUGCGGUACAGAUGGUAAGCAGCUACUUUCGAUUGUAAUUUUCCAAUCUUGGUUGGUAGGACAUGGCAUUUCGUCAUUUUGGAUUGCCCAUUUGUCGUUUGUUUGCUUGUGGUAGUGAAUUUUGACUGAUUUUAGGGUUUCUUACCAGAUACCUAGAUGCUCGAGCAAUAGCUAAACUCAUGAUGAGAAUGUGCAUCUAUUCAACCAAUUUGGGCACGUUAGAAUUAUGAAUGUGCUAUCACAGCUAUUAACCAUGCAGAAGCUCUCUUAAUAUUUAGGUGAAGAGGGCAAGUCUAAAAUAUGCUGCUGCUUGCAGUUUAGAUAGGUCACAUAGACAGAUUUUAAGGUUCGAACAUAGUUGGGAACAGAACUGGCUGAUACCUGUUUUCGAAUGGAACCAUAGUUCAUCAGAUGUCUUAGAUGGGGAGUUGCGGACGGAGUCAGCUAGUAGGCGUAUAAUUCGAUGGACAAUUUGACAAGCCAUCUGAUUUAAGGUCAGUCUUAGAUGGGGAGUUGCGGACGGGGGCAGCUAGUAGGCGUAUAAUUCGAUGGACAAUUUAACAAGCCAUCUGAUUUAAGGUCUUUUUGAAUGUUGGAAGCUGAAAAAUAUGUGGUUAGAAGUUAGAACCAUAGACAUCUAGAUAGGAGUCAUCACAAGAAUUUUAUUUUGCACUGUUUGCCUUUUAAUACAUCUUACCUCAAUAGUUGGCACAUUACUAAAUACUGUCUAACUGGCUUUAGGUCAUCCAGCUAAAAUUUCUAUCAGGACCCAAUAGUGGAAGCAAUUUGCUCCCUUUGUCAGAAGAGUUGAUGUGAAUUGAGUUAUACAUUUUCGCUACUCAAGCACAAGCUUAUGGUUCAUAUGAUUCUAUAGGGUGGGUUGUUCCUUGAAGUAAACACACCGUUAACUUGACUAGUUGAACCUCAAUUGUGGCAAUCCUGGGUCUGGACUUUAACCUUAACCUGUUUCUAUUGUGGUGCUUGGUUCUGCAGCAAAUACUUUUAUUGAUUUAACCCGCAACCAUGUUUUUUUGGUUGGUAUUCAUUCUGGGCUUUUGAUUCCACUUUACUUGGGGGAAUCUCAUGCGUAAUUGAUUCUUUUUGUACUCCAUCCAUUUCAAGAAAUCUAGCCAUCCUCGUGAACAUAAAACCUUUUUUGUCAUAGGCAAAUUGAGAAAGUUAUUAAUAAUAGGAAACUACUUAAUUUUGUACAACAAGUAUUCAAGUAAUCAAAUCAUAUGCAAGUUUGUUGUAACGAUUCAUAUCACUGUGUUCGCACUCCAAAGUACGUUUAAUAUGAUAUCAAUUCUUGAAGCCUACGUAUUAACUUGUGUUUCACAGCACUCGAAGCAGCAGAAGUGUGCUUUUGCACUGGAUUGACCAGUGCUAGUUGUAUCACAUGCAUGCAUGCAAAUGUGAAAACUAAUCCAUCCAGCUCGGGUGACGUGGCAUGUAAAACAAACACGAGCACGGCACCCAAUGCUAAAUUAAUUCUCGGACGUGUUGUGCGCUGGUGUCUUGGUAUCUGAAGUAACGCUCGUAACGCCUAAAAUAGAGAAUGUUUAUUAACUUAUGUAUAUUUUGAUUAAAAAAUGGCAGGAUCAAAAUCAGCUGGUUCUGGUACUAUGAAUUAAAAUAGAAUUCAUGCGCGCGCGCGCACACACACACACAGGCAGUUGAGACAUUGCAUUGACUUGAAGCUAACAUAUUUACACCUUGCCACCUGUGCAAUGUUGACCAAAAUAUUGCAUACUCAAGUUGUCCUGACAAACUGGUUUUUGAGCUGAUGGUACCAAAUUUCAAUGAGCUCAUACUUGCAACACAUCAGCUCCUUAGAGGGCCUCUUGAUUUUUCAGGAUUUUUUUGAAUUUUUCUGUAUGUCUAAUUGUGGUUUUGUUGAUUUGGUUUGUUUCUUGAAGGUACCGCAUACAGAGUGAUCGGAAAGUCCCUAUCUGCAGUGUGCAUCCAAUGGAACAGGCAACGCUUCAGUGCCUCGGCUGUCUCAAGUCAAAAAUACCUGUUGCUAAGAGCUACCACUGUUCAGCUAAAUGCUUCUCUGAUGCAUGGCAGCACCACAAAGUUUUGCAUGAACGAGCCAGUAGUGCCCUAAAUGAAAAUGGGGCUGAAGAAGAGGAGUUAUUUGGCAGAUUUGGCAGCGGUGGUUCUGGGGUUCUAAGUACUGCUGGAUCUGGUUCUUUGUCAAAUUUUGGACAAAGCCCUGGUGUUAACAAUGGACCUGUGCCUUUGUAUCCCUCAGGCACUGAUAAAAAUUCUGGAGAAACUUGGUUUGAAGUUGGACGCUUACGAACAUAUACACCAACUGCUGAUGAUAUUGGGCAUGCACUAAAAUUUGAGUGUGUAGCUGUGGACUCAGAAAAAAGGUCUCCAAUUGGACCUCCUACCUCAAUUAUGACAUCACGUGUAAUCCCUGCGCCAACUCCUACCCCUCGUCGCCUUAUCCAAGUGAAUGGGGAUGUUUUAGGUCACUUGGAUUUAGACAGCCAAACUUCGUCCUUGGGGACAUUCACUGUGUUAUCUUACAAUAUUCUUGCUGAUGCAUAUGCUACAAGUGAUGCAUAUAGUUACUGCCCAACAUGGGCACUUACCUGGACUUAUAGAAGACAAAAUUUGUUGCGUGAAAUUAUUGGUUAUCAUGCUGAUAUCAUCUGUCUUCAGGAGGUAUCAUAUUCGAAUCUAAACUAUCAAAUUUAUUUUUGCUGGCAACCUUUUUCUCUAUUUUCUUGAUGGAUAUGUUUUACUGUGUAAAUUAAGAAAGUCUAGAGUUAUGCAAUCCAAUGGACGUAGGAGUGGUAGUACUAUACAAUGAUGUUUUAGAUAUCUUGGCAAAGUUGCUGAACUAACUUUUUCUGCUUGUUAAGUUCAGUUUGGUUAUGACUUAUGAUAUUUGCCAGCUUUUUCGGGUAGCAUAACAUUAUAUGCUUGAUUGCUUGUACAUUACCAAGAGGUUUCUUAAUCUGCUUGCAUUUAUGUUAUGCACUUCGCAAUAUUGGCCUCUUAGUUUUUUUCAUGGAGUAUAAUGCAAAGAAAGGCUAAGCCCAAUAUGUAGUCCCUUCAUUCCAAAAAACCUGUUUUAGUGCGCGUUUGGUUUGUGGCCGCACCUCGUCGCACCGUGCUGCACAUUCCGCGCCACAGUUUCGGACUUUCGGCAGCCAUUUGGUUGGGUGCCGCACUUGCGGCAUGCCGCGGCGUGAGCACAGGGCCGUAGCUCAUUUUCUACGCCACACCCUGCCAAAAGCGCGGCGAGGAAAACAGCCGCCGUAGUCUUGGCGCCGUCCCUGCUGUGGCUUGGCGAGCUUAGGCACAGGCCAAACAUGCCCUUAGCUUUAUCAUAAGUCAAACUUGUCUAACUUUGACCAAGUUUAUAGAGAAAUAUAUUAGCAUCUAAGGUAUUCAAAUAAAUGCACUAUCGAAAUAUAUUUAAUGGUGUAUCUAAUCAAUCUAGUUUGUAGUUAUAGAUGUUUUUGUAUUUUUCUAUAAACUUUCUCAAAGCUAGAGAACUAAGAGCAACUCCAAGAGCUUUGCUAAAAUUAAUAGCCAAACUCCAUUAUUUAGCUAUUUUGUAAAAUAAAAAACUUCUUAAAUAAAGAAGAGGUCCACAACAGCCUUGCUAUUUUAUAAAAUCAGAUAGUUAAUGUCAUUGGUUGGCUAUAUAUGGCCACCAAAAAUCAAGGGAUAGCCAACUUUCUAUUUUACAAAACCAGAUAGCACAUUUGUUGGAGCCUACUUUUUGCUAUACAAAUUCUAAAAUAGCCUCCACAAUAAAAAUAGCCAAGCUAUUGGAGUUGCUCUAAGAGAAGUUUGACUUAGAACAAAGCUAAAAUGACUUGCAAUUUGGAAUGAAGCGAGUAAUUGGUGGAAUCUUUCGUUAAGCUAAAUAAGCUAAAUUCAAUAAUCAAUAGUGUCUAUGUUCAUCAAAACAAGAUCUAAAUCCUCCUUUUUUAGGUACAAGUAAACCACUUCGAAGAUUUUUUUUCACCUGAGCUUGAUAAACAUGGAUAUCAGGCGCUUUACAAGAAAAGGACAACUGAGGUAACUUCGAGUUUCUUUUACUUGGUUAAUUUGAUUGGUACCUUUUACUGUCCAGUUUGAUACUGCUCCUUUGCUAUCACAGGUGUAUUCUGGAAAUCCUAUGGCCAUAGAUGGCUGUGCUACUUUUUUCCGCAGAGACAAGUUUUCACAUGUUAAAAAAUACGAGGUACGGUCACUUCUGGGUUCGUAGUUAUUGGCUGAUUUGCACCAAUCUAAUUCUUGCACUUGCUUGUGUAGGUUGAGUUCAAUAAGGCUGCACAGUCUUUAACAGAUGCAAUUAUUCCUGCUGCUCAGAAAAGAGUGGCUUUAAGUCGAUUGAUUAAAGUAAGAAAAACAAUGAAACAUUAUUUUAUAUUUCCUGUCAUUAGUUCUAUUUAUGAGUUUUUAAUAAUGUCCCUUUUUCCAUUUCCUUUGAAGGACAACAUUGCACUAAUUGCGGUGUUAGAAGCCAAAUUUGGUAAUCAUGGAGCUGAAAAUCCUGGUAAAAGACAGCUCCUUUGUGUGGUACGUGAAUAAAAUUUUCUUUCUUUUGGUGUGUACAAAGAGCUUGUAAGAUGCGUAACAUCCUCCUCAUGUUGAAAAUUGAUAUUUACCAUUUUUCUCUAGGUUUUGAGGCCUGCUUCUAUCAUAUAUUGCUAUUUUUUUCAUCAUUUACGCCUUUCCCUCACUCUUGUUGGCACACUAAUAGAAUUUUGUUGUCACGAGGGUCUCUAGCCUCAUUGUUUUUCAAAACGAUUUCGAUUUGCAGGCAAAUACACAUAUAAAUGUCCAUCAAGACCUAAAAGAUGUGAAGCUAUGGGAGGUCUGUAUGUUCACAUUCGCUAGUGGUCUCUGUUAUCUCAAUUUUCCAGGAUAACGAUAACUAUGGUUUUUACAGGUUCAUACCCUCCUAAAAGGAUUGGAGAAGAUAGCUGUCAGUGCAGACAUUCCUAUGUUGGUCUGUGGAGAUUUCAACUCGACCCCUGGGAGGUGUGUCUGCAUUUGAAAAUCAUGGCAAUAUUUAUCAGUUUUUUUUUUGCUUCAACUAUGAUUUUCUAAGCACACAAUUGUACAUUUCAGUUCUCCACAUGCGCUUCUUGCAAUGGGCAAAGUUGAUCAGCAUCAUCCAGAUCUGGCAAUAGACCCCCUUGGAAUUUUACGCCCUCCAAGCAAGUUGAAUCAUCAGCUUCCUCUGGUCAGUUAAUCUGCCAUGGUUUUGAUACCCUUUUUGCUCUGGUCAUGCUCUGACCAAUGGUGUUGCUUGUACAUAGGUCAGUGCAUACUCUGCGUUUGCAAGAAUGGUAGGUGUUGGCUAUGAUCUGGAGCACCAGCGGAGAAGGACGGAUCCUGCAACAAAUGAACCACUCUUCACAAAUUGCACGAGAGAUUUUACAGGAACUUUUGAUUACAUAUUUUACACAGGUUGGUGCAUGGAGCCUCACUACAUGUGGAGCCUGUUAUUCUACGAUUGCAGCUUCUGUAUCUCCAUUUUCUUGAAUAAGAUUAUAGUCAGUAAUUGUGCUUAUUCUUUUCAUGAUGGCCAUGUUUGUUCUUUUUCAGCGGACUCAUUGACCGUGGAUUCAUUAUUGGAACUUUUGGAUGAGGAAAGCUUAAGAAAAGACACAGCUCUUCCAUCCCCUGAAUGGUCAUCAGAUCACAUAGCGCUCUUAGCAGAGUUCCGUUGCAAGCCUAGAAUCAGACGGUGACGCAUUAGGUAUGUUACAAAGGAAACCGCUGCUGUCAUUUUGUUGACAUGAAUGGUGUUGGAUUUUACAAUGAUUAUUUAUGUGUGUUGCCCCCCCCCCCCCCCCCCCCAAUUUCUCCCAAUGUGGGUGUUUGUCAAGUUUCAAUAGUAUGUUUGCAUAUCUGCAUUUACGUGACCAGUGCUUGCAAUAUUCUUUUGCUGCACCAGAAAUGAUUUCAUUGUCGACAGAAGACACUAUUUGCGUUGUAGGAGUUCAUAAUACUUUGUUCUUUUGGGUCAUGCUUUUGCUUGAGUAAAAAUAAUGCUGCAAGUCAUGCCAAAUUUCUGCUAUGUGCUUAGAUAGAAUGCUUCAUAUACAACACUCACCACACAACUCGCGACAACUGUGUUUAAGUCCUUGAUUCUGCGGUGACAAAUUGACACUGAAAUCAUCACACUUUGUGAAUCUUUCCAGGUCUUGUAGAAAAGGUUAUUCUCAUCAUCCUUGGUGGUGGAACACUGUUCCAUGUGGGAACUUGAGUCAGGGCGGGGACGAGGGCUCUCGGGGAAGCAAAGCAGCCUUAGGAAGCAGCCUCAGGAAGGGGAAGAGGCUUGUAACAUUGAUUUUACCCUCUUACAUUUGAGCUCAGUGAUAUUAAGCUGCCCCUGUGUACCAUUACUUUCUAUAGAAGAAAAAACUUGAGAGAAAUAUUUAAAGGGUUAUAAACCCUUUCUUUUUCUUUCGUUCACUGUGGUCGCGUUCGAUUUACCCUCUUGGCUGUAUCCAUGCUCGCUGCCUACAAGAUGUAGGAGCCCUCAGCUUCUCUAAAUUCUGUACCAAUGUAAUGCCGGUUCCUGUUUUUCUUUUCCAUGUUGCUGGUGCUGGUGAUGGCACUCAUAUCUGCUUGACCAGGCAUUUUUAUAACCGGUGGCAGGCAGCUCACAGGCAGGUGGAAUGCCUAGGUAAAUAGCUCAGGUUUGCAUCCAAACAUGCCUCAUUGCCCUAAGAUGUGUGAUGCGUUUUUGUUGUUUACUGGAAUCUGGCCGUACGUCUGUCGGCUCCGUGACACCUCUUGUUAUGGAGUUGGUCGCUGGUCAGAACAUGUCCUCUGCCCAAGAGCCGAUGCUCCAGCGUACGCACGUACAGCUCGGCUCCUUGGCUUCUUCGACCAAACUGGCACCAAACACGUUUGUUGGCGAUUAACCCAAAGUUCAGAUGUUGAUGUCGGACGUGCUGGCAACCUCUACUAAGGCCUUGUUUAGUUCUAAAAUUUUUUCGAAUCUUGUGGCAUAUGCAUAGAUAUUAAAUAUAUAUGAAAAUAAAAAUUAAUUGUAUAGUUUAUCUGUAAAUUAUGAGACGAAUCUUUUAAGACUAGUGGAUAAUGUUUGUUAAAUAAAAACAAAAGUUGAAAUCUAAAAAAACUUUGUGAACUGAACAAGGUAAACGGCACGAUAAAUCAGAAGAGGCAUGCAGGAGAGAGAGGAAGCAUCUGUACGGUCAGUGACAGGGCUUGGGUCUGGUUUAGUUCACCUUGAAAACCAAAAAGUUUAAGAUUCUCCGUCACAUCAAAUCUCGUGGCACAUGCAUGAAACAUUAAAUAUAGAUGAAAAUAAAAACUAAUUACACAGUUUAGCUGUAAAUCACGAGACGAAUCUUUUGAUCCUAGUUAGUCCAUGAUUAGAUAAUAUUUGUCACAAACAAACGAAAGUGCUACAGUACCGAAAACUUUUCACUUUUCGGAACUAACAAGGCCUUGGCCAAAUCUUGACCUGAGCCUUUGUAGCUGCAGUCUGCAGGCAUGUCAAAAGUCAAACCUGUGACGCGCCAGAAAAAUUCCAGACGUUUGACCGCAUGCAAGUCUCUCGGUGCCACUGACGCCGUGGGCCCAGCUUUCGUGGACCAUUGGCAACGUAGCCAUCGGCGCCGCCGGUUCUUUUUUAGCCUUGAGUUUUCAAAAAAAUUAAGAUUUUCUAUGAAUCUUUAAACACAUGCAUAAAAAUAUUAAAUAUAGAUAAAAAAUAACUAAUUGCAUUAUUUAUUUGUAAUUUGUGACAUGAAUCUUUUGAGCCUAAUUAGUUCAUAGUAGAAUAAUAAUUACCAAAUACAAACAAAAUGUUACAGUGUCAAAAUUCAAAAAAAUUUACCAACUAAACAAGACCUUAUACCAAUGCAUAAAGUACACGGGCAAGUUAUGUUUUUUUUUUCUAUUUUGUAUGAGUUCAUUUGAAUACGUGGUUCAAAUCCAACUUGUACCUAGUAGGGCGAAAAAUCUCCAAAGAAAAAGAGAUGGUCUCAAGAAUGGCAAAUCAUAAAGAGGCGCCUUAUCACUCCUCACCAUUGCUUUUGUCCGUUCCUCUUAUCAUCUUCGGAGAAGCUUGCAAAAUACUCCUUUGAAGUUGGACAUAGUGUAACAUAAUGAUUAGCUUAACAAUCUGUUAACUAUUUAACUUUUUCUGGAUAACACAAUGGCUACCUUAUUUGUCAUUGACAAUUCCUUCUAUACAACAUAUAUUUAUGUCCAAAACAGAACAUGGUAUACCUCCAACGGACAAGUCUCAAUGGAAAAUUAAUAAAGCUGUAUACAGAUGAUAGAAUCAUGUCACAAAUUAGUAUAAUGCUCUAUCAUGACACAUAGAGCAAACAUAAAUGACAUAUUGAUAAAGUACUAGAUAAUGUUGCAUAUAUUCCGACUAAGGAAGCAUUUACCUUGCAGUUAACAAAAAGAAAUAAUACAUACCCAAGUACAAAUGGCUCAUUAGCAUCUUAAUCACAAAAAUACUAUAUCACUAAUGCAAGGAGCAACUAGGUUCCUUUGUAUAUCCCACAUAUCCCAAGCUAAGAAAAGCAAGCCUCGAUUUGAGCUAAAAGAGGACCAGGUGGUGAUCAAACAAAUUGUAUUUUUCUAAAGAGUAGUGAUUUUGUGCCAGAGAAUCCCAAGUAGUUUCCAAGGGACCUUCACUUUGCUUAUUGCAUCAUUGUUUUAGCUCUUCUUAUCUGUUUAUAUGCACAGUAGAACUAAGCUAAACCAAUAAGCAUGCUUCACAUGCAGUGCAUGCUAUAAAUGAUGUCAAUAGUUUUUUUUUUAAAAAAAAUAUGCUGGUGGUUAAUUAAACACACGGCUCGACAAGAACACAAAGCGAUAGUGGUUUCUAAUACCUAUAUAACCACAACCAUGGUAAAAAGUCAAAUUUUGUUUAAGAUAUACUACUUCUAUCCCAAAACAGGGAUGCAACUCUAAUUUUGUCCUAAAUCAAACUAUUAAGUUUGACUAAGUUUUAUAAAUAUAUCAGUACUUAUCAUACAAAUAAGUACGAUCAAAUUCACUAGAGAAUAUAUUUUCAAAACAUGUAUAUUUUUUGUAAUAAAUGUUGAUAACUGUUUUAUAUAAAUUUAGUUAAAUUUAAGAUUGAUUAACCUCAAUCAAAACUAGAAUUAUAUUCUUGGUCCGACGCAAUUAUGCAAGCGAGUAUAUUAUUUUCAAAAACUAUUGAUUCCGGUGUCGGUGUCAAGGAAAAGAAAAAAAAAUACUCGUAUGGAAAUGGAGAGAAGCAAAAGGUGGAGAAGAUUCAACUACACAUCUUUCAGGAAAAAAAAAAAGAAAUCUUUCAAAAACGCGGUUCUGAAACCCGUAUUUUGAUUUUUGAGGUUAGACGAGGGUGCAUCUCACAAAAAUCAUCCACUUCCUCACCUCCUCUGGGGGGCGUUUCUUCCAACGUCUCCUCUCCCGGCCGGCGAAGGAAGGAAGGAAGGAAGGAAAGGAGGCACGCCCCACGCGAAAGAAAGCUGACGCCGCCCACGCGCCCAGGAGGAGAUAGAGCACCACCAUCCGCGACCGACGCGUGAUCAGAUUCCAGCACCAAUCCCCUCCUCCUCCCCAGCCCCCUCCCCGCGCUAAAAUCUACACAGAAAGCCUCGCGAAUCCGGCCUGAUUCGAUCUCGCGCUCGAUCCCGGCCCGCCCACCGGGAGGUCCUCCACCCUCCCUCCCGCCAGAUCUCAGCGUCGCUCGUUCGGUUUCGAUUUGGUAGUGGAAGGGAGGGGAGGCGGGAUGAGCGCGCGGAUAAAGGAGAUGGUGCGUGUGGCCACGGCGCGGCUGGGCGGUGAGCAGGCGGUGGGCGGUGGUGGCGGGGCUUCCUCCUCCUCGGGCUUCACGCGCAGGGAGUCCACGGCGCGGCUCGGCGGCGGGGGUACCAGCCUCCGGAGGCAGCCGCAGCCGAUGGCCCCCACCGUGCGCACCGUCUACUGCAACGACCGCGAGGCCAACGCCCCUGUCGGGUACAAGGUACGCCGCGCUUGGCGCUUGCCCCCCCGCAUUCUGACAUUCGGUCUGGAUCUCGGCGAUGUUUCGUAUCGUAUGGUUGUGUUCGAGGUGGAUCGUCUGGCGCGAUAAGCUAGCUGGUUUCUACUUCGCCCUGGGCGUUUAGGAUUUCGCUUCACCAGGAUUGUGUUGCUGAUCAGCUUCGAGUGCCCUGGGUGGAUUGGAAUUUUGCCUGCAGCUUAUACAGUUGGUUUUGGGAGAUGGGAAUGACAGAUGUUUGAUGUGUUAUCGCUGUAAGUGGUACCGCGCUAUAUUGCCAGGGAGCGGCGCAGUUUAGACCUCCACAGGAUUGCCUGAAGACUCUUCAUGCUUUCAUUGUAUCUUGUGGAUCAUACUGUGGCCUGGUAACUGUGGUUUAAUGUCAGUGUGGAACACAAACACAUGGGUUUGUUCUGAAACUUGUAUUUGAAUGGGUCCUAUUGGUAGUAUUUUCCCCUUCCCUUCCUAUACAAACGUUGCAGCUGUAGUAUAUUAAGUGUAUUUGCAAGAACUCUGUUGCAUCACACUAAUGACAGCCCCCCUUCAAUUUUUGGUUUGUAUCAGUUAUUGAUUAUUAUAGAGUUAUUCGAAGCUGGCACCUCAACAUAAAACUUUGUUUUGACCAUGUUGGCGCUAAACUUUACUCCCUCCAUUCCAAAUUAUAAGACAUUUUGUCUUUUCUAGAUACAUAGUAAAAUCAACAUAUCUAGAAAAGCCAAAAUGUCUUAUAUUUUGGAAUGGAGGGAAUAGUUUGUUUGACUAUGAUGAUUCGUCUGUUUUUUUUUCCCUUUUAUGAUAUGAUGCAAUCUCCAUGAAAGCUGUCAAUUCUGCACAGUAAAUUGGCAGGAUAUUACUUUUCCUUUUCACUGUUGCCAUCUGAUGUUAGUUCCGCUUUUGAAAUUCUUUUGUAUGCUUUAUUCAUAUGUCUCAGGGAAAUUCUGUGUCGACUACAAAGUACAACAUCCUGACCUUCGUACCUAAAGGAUUAUUUGAGCAGGUAUUAAUACAUUAUUUUUUUUAAUCACACAUGUUAUCAACCAAGCAAGUUCUUUAGAUUCAGCAUCUUUUAUAGCAAUUUUCCCUUCGUUUUUAAUUGAAAGGCAUUAUUUGUGUAUUAUCAAAUUUUCAUAUGUGCAAUUGGUUGAAUUUGCUUUGCUCCCCUUUUGUGUUCCCCAAAUACUAAUUUGUUUUGACAAGAAAUGUGGACUUACACUUAAUUGAAUGAAACACCUAUGUUCAUGUGCCUUUUCUGCAAACUGAUCUCCUAGAAUUGUUCCUUUCCUGAUCAUGGUAUCUCUUAAUUGGCUUAAUAACAGAUUGAUGAUAUGUCUGCUGGGUUCUCAAAUGCCACAGUGCAUUUAAAAUGUGAUUCUGUUGUCUUUGCAUAUUAUGCAUGCGCUGUUAAAAUUGUACUAUCUUGGUUUAUUUUAGUGCACGUUGUGCUUUCAGCACUUUACGCUGCAUUUUGUACGACUUCUCAUAUCUGGUAGCUUCUUCCUAGUUCACAGCUUUGGUAGAUAAGGGGAAACAAACUUCAUAUCAUAGACAGUUGUCAUCACUGACUCAAAUAUGAGUGUUAUCGUUCAUGUUUCCCAUGCCCAACCAAUCACUCACUAAUGCAACAUAAAUUUGAAUGUUUUAUCCUCACCAAAUCAUGCAACAGUAUUGGACCAGAAGAACCUUUUGUAAUUCAUUUGUCUUUUGCUUUGACAGUUCAGGCGGGUUGCAAAUCUUUACUUUCUCAUGAUCUCAAUCUUGUCGACUACACCUAUUAGGUCUCUCUCUCACUCAUGUGCAUCUUCCUAGUUUUGAGUCAACUCGUCAUUCUUUGCUUUUUGCCAGCCUUAAUUUUAACUUUGCACUUGUGCUUACAGUCCAGUUCAUCCUGUCACUAAUGUUGUUCCCCUAAGUAUUGUGCUUCUGGUGUCUCUCAUCAAGGAAGCUUUUGAGGAUUGGGUUAGUAUUGCUAUUCACUAUUUUGUUCUGCCAUGCUUAAGUUAAGAGACCUGAUGUUGCUCCUUUUCCUUUUCUGCCCUUUGUACAGAAGCGUUUCCAGAAUGAUAUGUCAAUUAACAAUGCACAUAUCGAUGUAUUGCAAGGUCAAUGUUGGGAAAGUACUCCAUGGAAACGACUGCAGGUUGGAGAUAUUGUGAGGGUAAUGUCUUAAAUGCAUAUUUAGUAUCUUGUGAGUUAAUCAACAUAUUCCAUACUGAAAGUAAUUGUCUUGAUCUGUUUGUUGUGUAAUAUUGAGGUUUAAUGGCAUAAAAAACUAAUAGUGAUGACACUUCUUUAGAGCAGAUCAAGCAAGAUGGUUAUUUCCCUGCUGACUUGCUCUUCCUAUCAAGUACAAACCCUGAUGGUGUCUGCUACAUAGAGGUCCUUAUUCAUUUAUACUUUUUAUUCAUUUAUUGGCUCAAUUUGAAACUGAAGCCCUAAUAAAUGUGCUUUGGGGAAAAUAUUCAUUGAUUUUGGAUGAAAAAAUAAUUGCAGACAGCAAAUCUUGAUGGGGAAACAAAUCUGAAAAUAAGGAAGGCUUUGGAGAAGACUUGGGACUAUGUACUUCCUGAAAAGGCUUCUGAGUUCAAAGGUUUUGUGCCUCUUAUUUUCUGGUUAAGGAAGAUGUGUCUUUUUUGCUUAACUCCACAUUGGUUUGUCCUGUUUUAUGUGCCUUGGAAUUCUUCAUAUUUGAAUUAGAUAAAUGGCUUACAGGUGAAGUGCAGUGCGAACAACCAAACAAUUCCCUUUACACGUUUACUGGCAAUCUUAUCAUGGACAAACAGACUAUACCUCUGUCACCGAACCAGUUACUCCUAAGGGUAAGAUUUGUUUUCCAAUCGUUUUCUUUCUUCUAUGAUUAGCCUUAUUGUUUUUUUCCUUGUCCCUAGACAAGCAACAUCUUUGGAGUUCCCUAGAUUGGCCAUAUGUCAGUGUCUGCUCUAUAUCCUUCAUGAAAUGCUUCUAACAAUGAUUUGUAGAACUGGGAUAGCUUCUGUAGAUUAGCCUUUCCUCACUUUUAACAAUUUUAUACUUUUUUUCCUAGUUUUAUAGAUGGCCAAGCAGGGGCAUGGCACAGCCUGGCCUGGCCCUGCUUAGGCAUGGCAUGGCAAGGCAUGAUUAGCUAGCCAUGCCAUGCCGUGCCAGCACACGAGCUCCCCCGGUGGCCCAGGCAUGGCACUGCAGCGGCUUAGUCGUGCCGUGCCGUGCCGGCCCAACGAGCCUGGCGAACUCCCAAACACAAAUCUAUCAGAAGUUUAGAGACCAGAGAUUAACAACGGCAGCAACAUCUUUACACCCAAUCAUCCAUACGGGCACAAAUCCAUAUAUACACAAAUCAAUCCAAGUCCAUCUGCUGAGCCACCAUGCCUCUGGUGGAGUAUUUGAGUGUUGCAUGAGGUGGCCGUCACAACUCACCUGGUCAACACUGGCAGUAGAUGAGAAAGGACAGAGGAGAGCAGUGCCACAGCGCUGACCACCUCGUCUGAGUUUAACCGUUACUCCUACACAAACAGUGGACGGGUGGAGAAGGGAGCUGCGCUGGUCUUGAAGGGGAGAACCGGAGAAGGGAGGGGAGGGGAGCAGCACUGGAGUUGCUGCGUUGGAGGGGAGAGAGGAGAGUAUGGGAGGGGUGGUGGAGGGGAGGGCUGGAGUGGAGCGCGACACAGCAGGAAAGGAGAGUGCGGUGAGUGGCUAGGUUUGGGGUGCAAUUUAUAUGUGGGGCCGGGAUGGUGAUGGCUUAGGAUGGCCCAUUAAUGGGGCCGCCUACGAAUCAUGCCAUGCUUGGGCUGGCACUAUGGGCCGAUGGUGUGGCCCAGGCACGACACUAGCCAUUUGUCCGUGCUGGCACGGGCACGGAUGGCACUGGGCCAUGCCGUGUUUAAUCAGGCCGUUCCCUGUGCUGCCUGUUAGAUCUGCCCCCUCUUGGCGUCUUACCUAGUUUUGCUUGAAUGAUGAAUAGUUGAUGGUGGGGAAGGUAUUUGUAGGGUUCAUGAUAGAAGAUUUGUACCAUGCUGUAUGUUAAAAAUAUAUACUAUACUAAAAACCGAUACCAAUUGAAAAAUAGUGACCUUGUAACCAUAGUUUGUGGGGAUGGUAAAGCAUCUCCUCUGGUCUUUGUUAGAGGGUGCUUAGGUUUAGUUUAUUUGCCGUGAUAAGAGAAGGUACCUAUACGGCUAUACCUGAUAUUUGGUGCCUUUGGCUAAGAGAACAUCCUUUUAGUUCUUCAGUGAAAUUUGAGUUCAUCUUUGAACCCAUGACAAGAUACAUGCAUUUGGAUAUUUCAAGUCCAGGAUAGAUCUGUGGUUAAGAGUCACACUCUCCUUUCUAGUCACCAUCCUGCAAUACAACAUUUGAAAUGCUUAAAGUAUUUGUUUUUCUCUUUCUAUCCUUUGCUUCAUCAGAUUGAUUUGUUAUUUGUGUGGUUGUGCCCCCUCGGUCUACUCUUUUCAUGCACCAGAGAACUUUAAUUUUGCUCUGUGCUUGAGUGAACAUUGACUUAUCAUUGCCUUCUUGCUACAGGGAUGCAGCCUUCGUAAUACAGAAUACAUUGUUGGCGUUGUCAUAUUCACUGGGCACGAGACAAAAGUAUGGGCAUCUUUCUAUUCCCUAUCUAUUCGAUGUGGAAAUUUGAAGUUUUGAUUUUCUUCAAGUUUCAAAAUUUACGCCUGUAGUAAACUGUUGCAGGUUAUGAUGAAUUCCAUGAAUGUUCCCUCCAAAAGAAGUACAUUGGAAAAAAAGCUAGACAAGCUUAUCCUUGCUCUUUUUGCAACCCUCUUCACAAUGUGUGUUAUUGGUGCCAUUGGAAGGUUAGUUCUUUUACAAUCUCUGUCUUUAUGUACCUACUUUAUAUGUCAAAACAAAUCUCUGCUUCAUUUAUGAAUGUCAUUGUCAUUUAUUGUCCUAGAAUAUGUGUAGUCAAACUUUUUUGACUUUUAAGAACAUAAACUGACAAUUAUAUUUAUCACAAACAAUAUUUUCACAUUUUUUAAGUUCUUAAACUUGACAAAAAUAUUACAGUAAAUUGGCGACCGAGGCAGAUGGAGAUGGGAGGGACCAUAAUCACAAAAAACCUGGGUCGGUCAGGUCUACAAUCCACACUAGUGUAGGCAUCUCUUUGGAACGUUGAAUUCCGGAUCCGGUUCGUGACCCCAAGACUCCAGCUUGACCUAUUUUACCCUCCACGAACUCAUCUAGGCACGCUAUGCACAAGCAACAGCCGUUUCUCGCCUCUUUGGUCUCUCUCCUCCCAUGGUACACUGCCUCUGUCACUAGAAGCCACCACUACUACGUUCAAACCUUUGUUGCAGUGCCUACUCCGUUGCCCCCAAAGAGCUGGACCACCUUGGGCCAGCUCUGCUGUAACUUCCGUCACUAUGUUCAAACCUUUGUUGCAGUGCCUACUCUGUUGCCCCCAAAGAGCUGCGCCACCUUGGGCCAGCUCUGCUGUAAGUUCCCUCCUUCCUCCCUUCAGCCCUUCUCUCACAUGGGAGUCUUGAUUUGGAGCUUGUGACCCUGCAGCAACAGGACAGCGGCCCAGUUUGGUCCCGACUCUCGAAUUGGGACGAUGAUCCAGGGUUGCGGAAUGUGGCAUCAUCCCUGUUGGGACUUGGGAGAGACAUACAUGCUCAUAGGCUAGCUGUUAAAUUUAAAUUCCUUUGUAACAUCAAAAUGAAAUUAUUUUAUCUAAUAAAGCAUUAUGCAGUUAUAGUUGUCUUUACAUAGAAUUUGUUCUUGGUUAUUAAAGCUAUUUUUGUACUAGUACUGAUGGACCAAUUUUUCCUUUUUUUAACAGUGGUGUGUUUAUUAAUGAAAAAUACUUUUAUCUUGGAUUGCGUGGGCAUGUUGAGGACCAGUUCAAUCCCAAAAACAGAUUUGUGGUAUAUACCGUUUUAGACAAUUUUAGUUGUAUCUAAAUUCAUACAUGUAGCUCUAAAACACUAUUUCUUCCACAGGUGACCAUUUUAACCAUGUUUACUCUAAUAACUCUAUACUCAACAAUCAUCCCCAUUUCGCUUUAUGUGUCCAUUGAGGUAUUUUGUUCAACUUGUUAUUUAUUUAGAAUGACCUAACCUAUGCUUGGACUAUCAGAGCUUAUGUUUCCUUUGGCUGCCAGAUGAUCAAAUUCAUACAGUGCACACAAUUCAUUAAUAACGAUCUUCAUAUGUACCAUGCUGAGAGUAACACCCCUGCUUUGGCACGGACUUCUAAUCUUAAUGAGGAGCUUGGACAGGUAAUAUCUUCCUUUUGCCCCUUAUCCUGUUUUAAAUUUAAAUAAAACUCCUAUUUGGUCACUCAAUUAGGACUAUGGGACUAUCUGAUCAAGCUACAUGGUUGUGUUUGUAUUGGCGUAGAUUACAUCUUUCUCGCAUGAUUCAUUCGACAAGUUAGAUAAUUUGCACCAUUUGUGGAGAAGGAAGGGGUUCGGGGGUGGGGGGAGGAGUGUUGUUGCCCACUGAGCAUAAAUAUGGAGAUGUCUUUUGGCUUCUUUCCGUCCAUAUUUUUUUUUGAAACAAUGGCAGGAGCUCUGCUGGUCCAAUUAAGACGAAAGAAUUUAUGUACAAGAAAGGUUAGCUCAACGAGAUGCCAAAAGGAGGCAUCCGAGGGGCUAACCAACCCACGCGACGUGGUUGAGCACAAACACGACACACUGCGAUGGGUCAUUGUUGCCUAGCAUGGAAACAAAGCUGCCAGCAGCUCUGAGCCUCUGACUUCCCAUGGCAGGCCACCCACGAGCCACCAGUCGACGGGUCACCGCUGCAAUGGCCAUCGAGGAAGGGGGCAGGCGGAGGAGAAGAAGAAACCCUGUGCCCCUGUUGCCGUCCCUUGCCCCUGCACAGGCACUGACCGGCACCACCCGCACCGGCAGUAUCCGGUUGGAUCCACAUGGGCGGCAGCGGUCCUAGCUGCGGGAGGGCCGGAUCCAGUGGGAGGGGUGCUGGAGCCACUGCUAGAAUUUCAGGCAGAGCGCCCCCUCCGGAUCCCUCUGCUGUGCGCCAUUCCUGCCGCCCCAGCUGCUGAGCGACGCGCCCCCUCCGGCAGCCUCUGUGCGCCACUCCCGCCGCGCCUAGCCGUGGUGCCAUCCUGGCCGCCGAGUUCCGUCCCUGCAAGGAGGUGCUUGUGACCCUCCUGGACGAGAACCUUGCCGCUGCCGUCCUAGGGGGCUGCACGGGCCUCCCGUCCCGGCAGUUCCCUCCGGUGGCGGCGAGGGAAGGGAAGGUGGUGGUUGACGGCGGCGACGGCUAGGGUUUGCUUGCUGCCCGAGCCGCCUGUGUGGGUGGGCGAUGCGGGGGCACUCUUUCUGUCUAUAUCAUGGGGAUAUUCCAUAUAAUCUGUACAUUUUAACUGAAUGCUUGGGAUCUUGGUGUUAGAUUUUGAUGAUUGUUGAUAUGAGAUAUAAAUAUUUUGUACAUUUCGCCUUACUUUAGUUCUAACUCAUCAUCAACAUUAUGGUUCAGGUUGAAUAUAUAUUUUCUGACAAAACUGGAACACUUACAAGAAACCUGAUGGAAUUCUUUAAAUGCUCAAUUGGUGGAGAAAUGUAUGGAACUGGCAUCACAGAGAUUGAGAAAGGAGGAGCAGAGCGGGCUGGAAUUAAAAUCGAUGACGAUGAGGUGCAAUGUUUAUUGUUGUUGAAGUCCAUAAAUCGUAUCAUCAUGUCUGCAAAUCUAACAAUGUUUACAUUUCUUUAUUUACUUUCAUAGGGUAAAAGGUCUGCCAAUGCGGUCCAUGAAAAAGGAUUCAAUUUUGAUGAUGCUAGAAUCAUGCGCGGUGCAUGGAGAAAUGAACCUAAUCCUGAGGCUUGCAAGGUUGGUGUUUGGAGAUUUUUUAAAAUAAGUUUGGAGUCUUCUGCAUGAAAAGUCAUUAUUCGUCUCUUGUUAACUCAGAUAUGAUGAUAUAAAAUUCUAGUUUGUUCUGAAAACCAACCUUUUGUUUUUCUGAUGUUAUUUUUAGGAAUUCUUUAGAUGCCUUGCAAUCUGUCAUACAGUUCUUCCAGAGGGUGAGGAGACUCCGGAAAAGAUAAGUUACCAGGCUGCCUCACCUGAUGAGGCUGCACUUGUGGCUGCUGCUAAGAAUUUUGGCUUCUUCUUUUAUAGGUAAUUAUAUUCCUGCAAAUAGUCUUAGAUUCCUCAGACAUUUCCAUUCUUCUAUGUAAUAUCCAAACAGUCAACAUUUUCUGAAAAAACCCUUCACUGUCUUAAAUGCACUACACAUGAAAAUACCCAUGUUUUGCUCAUACGGCUAUCUAAUUGGGAAAAUUGGCUCCACAUCAGCAUCAUUGUGAACAAAGCUUUAGUCCCAAACAAGUUGGUGUAUGCGUACGCUAGUGUCAUGUAUAUGAGCCUGUGGAGUGUGCUACCAAACUGGACAGGUGUAAGUGUAAGCCAUUGCAGGGGUACGCAAUAAGAGAAACUGAACAACCGCUGGUCAGGGGCAUCAAAGAGCAGAAUGGAAAGCUUCAGAGUCAUCUUCGGUUCUCCUUUAUGCUGCCUCUCAACCCUAAUUCUGAUCUCUGAUCUGAUUCUACUGCCUGUUCUCACCUUCUCCGGUUCUCCUUUGUGCUGCCUCUCACCCCCAAUUCUGAUCUCUGAUCUGAUUCUACUGCCUGUUCUCACCUUCUCUGGUUCUCCUUUAUGCUGCCUCUCACCCCCAAUUCUGAUCUCUGAUCUGAUUCUACUUCCUGUUCUCUUUUUUCUCAAACAAGCAGGAGAGCUGCAUAUCUUUGUAUUGAGAGGAAAGUCUCAUGCAUUUUUCGAGAAAAAAAAUUAAGAGAGGAAAAAGAGGGGAAAUAAUCCCAUACAAGACAAGACAACCCUCUUAACCCAGCUAGGAGAUAAGAGAAGGAUGCAAACAUUACACCUCAGAAACCACAUGUGCCCUGAACCCGACCAUAUAAUCACUUCUGGAGCUUUCAGGCUCAAGCCAAACACCACAGUCUCAUCUCUUCUUUGAAGGAGUGCUAGGCUGUCUGCAGGAAGGGAGAAGCUUCAUCAGUUUCACAACUGUUCCUGUGGUUCGACAGUAUCCCAGUGCCAAGUAGGAUAGUACUGUUACAUCCUUUUCUUUUGGCCUUCCCAAUCUUUUUACUUGCUUUUAUCACUAGUCUGCAAAGCACUUGUCAUGUCGAUGAGGCACUGAUGCACUAUAUGCUCCAGCCCACGAAGGCUGAACAGAUUGAGUCAGAACUGACAAGCAAAGACAAUUUGUGAGGAUACGCUCCACUGUCUCCAAUUAUCAGGAUGUGCAGUCCCCCUUUUUGCUAAAUGACCAGUCAUCAAACACUUGUUUCUAAUAGCAAGCCAUAGAAGACCUUGCAUUCAGAAGGGUCCCAUGAUUGCCUUGCUGUAAAGUCAACCAGUAAGUGGAGGGAAUUGCCUUGCUGUAAAGUCAACAAGGCUGCCAUAAUAUCAGGUUUAGUUACUGAGCAGCAACCCUUGUAAAAUCUGUCAGUAUACCUGUCAGGCCCAGGAGCUUGAUCAGAUGGUAAACUGCAUAUAGUCGCCCAUACGGCCAUACUUCAUCUUCACUAUAAGGCGCAUCUAAAACUGACAGGUCCUAUCUUUCUGGAUGAAAAUACUGAAGGUUCACAGUUGUAUUCCUAGGCAAGUGUACAUGACGGCUAGAGAUAAAACCCAACAAUAGCCUCACGAACAAAAAAAAAAGUAAUGAUAUAACAAUGACAUGUCGUAGUGAUAUUAGAAAUUUGGAGUAAGAUACGUGUACCACUGCCCCAUUGUGAACAUUUCCCAUAACUAGGUCUAUUUAUAUCUUUCAGGUUUAUGUUUCUACUGGAGUUGUUCCUUUAUUUCUGAAGUUGCAAAAAGAAUAACCAAUUUUCAGAUAUUAGUGAAUGGUAUUGUUUUGAGGGUCACAUUGUGCUUGUUUUGUAGGCGUACACCCACAACAGUUAUGGUUCGUGAGUCACAUGUUGAAAGGAUGGGGAGUAUACAAGAUGUUCCAUAUGAAAUUCUGAAUGUUCUGGAAUUCAACAGGUGAGUUCAUUUGUUGUCUCUGUAGUGUAAAUUCAAUGAGAUGAAAUUAUUGUUUUGUUGUUUAUGUUUUAUUAUUGUACUAACAGUACGAGAAAGCGACAAUCGGUGGUUUGUCGUUUCCCAAAUGGAAGAUUAGUUCUCUAUUGCAAGGUAAUACAAGGAAGACGACCUUGGUUUGACUUCUGUUAUGUUCAUCGCACUAGCUGACAUAAUCUUUGUGUAAAUAGGGUGCUGAUAAUGUCGUAUAUGAACGAUUGGCUGAUGGAAAUCAUGAUAUGAAAAAGAUCAGCAGAGAGCAUCUAGAGCAAUUUGGUUCUGCUGGCUUGCGUACACUUUGUCUUGCCUAUCGGGAUCUUAGCAGGGAGCAAUACGAAAGCUGGAACGAGAAGUUUGUACAAGCAAAGUCAUCUUUACGAGAUCGUGAUAAGAAGCUCGAUGAGGUUAAUGGGUUACCAUCUUUUGGUUAUUGCUAUGACGAUUGGCAUGAAUUCUGACAAUGUAUUUGCUUGAACGUGGUCCUUUCUGUUAGAACUUAUGCUACUGGAUCUAUAAUUUGUUUUGUACCACGUCUUCACUUGCUUGGAUGGUUUCUUAUUUAAGCAGGUGCACCUCAUGCAUUGUUAGAAGGAAGCAUGACUCAGUAGCAUGAAACAUUUCUAGCUCUAGACAUUGUUAUUAAUUUUUUCCCUGAAAAGUUUAUUUGUGAUAUUCAUUAGCGCUUUGCUAUUGUGCACUCUGUAACAUAUUAGAGUUUUCUUACUUUGUAUAUUAGUGAGAUUUAUCUGGGCAUUCCUUUUAUAACAAAGCUACAUGGGACGUGCUGCCUGUGAAAGCAGCCAUGUGCAAUUAUUGCAGUUUUGUCUAGUUUGUUGUCAUUUGCUGCAAUACGAAUGCUAAGUGGUUUGAACAUCCUGUAAUGGUGACCUCAGUUAGAUAUUAAAGAAUAUUUUAAAAUAAACCACAGUAGUUAUAUCAAAAUCAUUUUGGUGAACACGUUACUGUUAUGGGAGUGAUGAUAUCUGAGUGUUAAUCUGUUCAUUUCCUAUUUUAGAAUAUACCUUUUUCAUUGGUUUAUAUGUGAAUUUUAUCAUGCAAAUCACUGACUAUCUGCAUUCUAUAAAGAAUAUGUGAUCCUUCAAGUUGAAGCUAAAUUAUUCUGCUAUUGCUGGCAACAUUGUGAUUGGAUUUUCCUUCUUUACCCUGUAGGUGGCUGAAUUGAUUGAAAAAGACCUUGUAUUAGUUGGGUGCACAGCUAUAGAGGACAAACUGCAAGAAGGGGUGCCAACCUGCAUUGAAACUCUCUCUGCAGCUGGCAUAAAAAUUUGGGUGUUAACUGGAGAUAAGAUGGAAACAGCGAUUAACAUUGCAUAUGGUGAAGCUUCCAUCUAUUCUUGAUUAGUUUUUGGCUUGCUCUUCUCCUUAAACUAUUCUUUCUGUCAGUUUUGGAUUCUGGGUGUUCUUUUCCUGAUCUCUCUUUCAUCUAACAUAUACAGCAUGCAGCUUGGUAAACAAUGACACAAAACAGUUCAUCAUUAGUUCAGAGACAGACGCUAUUAGGGAGGCUGAAGACCGGGUAAGCUGCACAUACUGCACUUUGGACAACAUAUAUAAUGCUUUUAGCUGGUUUAUUUCUUUUGCUAAAGGUUUCUCCUGUAAAAUUCAAAAAAUUAAAUAAUGGGAUAAAUUAACUGCAAAAAGUUCUUUUGGUACCUGACUACUUGUGCUGCUGUGGUAUUAUGCAUUUAUGGGUGUCUGUUCACAUGGCAUAUUAACCAUGAUUUUGACUCGUGUUUCUGGAAAUUUUAAUUUUAAGGCCUCCCAGUAAUGCUCUUUUUUUGUGGAAUACAUAUAAGAAAGUAGUCUUCUUUAUUUAGUUGUUAUGGACAGUGUUGUUUAUUGCUUUAGUGCUUUGGCCUCUCUAUUUCUUUGACGUUGUUUUCUUUUACAUAUCUUAUUAUACUUAUUUUCUUACAUAAUCAGUUGUAUGAUUGUUUCCUGUUAGUAUGAUCAACUUGUGACCAGUAGUUUGUACUUUUGGGGGAUAUUAUGAGUUUGUACUUAUAUUUUUCUGCUACCAUUGGGUUUUUUUAUAUGGUGGCAUGCAUUAUAUUUUCAUAGUUAUGUGUGGACUGUUCUUCCUUAGUGCUUGGGUUGAUUUCUCCCAAGUUUUUGUUGGUGCUCUUUGUCUCUCUGCCUGUACUAGACUAGUUUAUUUGGCCUUGGGUCUCAGUCACAGGUCAUGUUAGUUGUGGAAGGCUAGUUGCUCUGGUCUAGUGUUCCCUUGGGGAGGGGGAUUCUUCUCCCUCCUUUGUACUUUUUUUUUGUUCUCAAUGAAAUGAUGCACAACUCUUGUGUGUUCGAGAAAGAGAAAAGAAGCGCCUCAUUAUAUUUUCAUAGUUGUCCUUAAUGCUUAAGCCUCACUAUAUUGUUGAUGGUUAUCUUGGAUGUAUCUCGUGCCUACACAUGCCAUACAUAACCUGUCCUUUCAGGGUGACCCUGUGGAAAUUGCACGUGUUAUUAAAGAUUCAGUAAAACAGAGUCUGAAAAGCUUUCAUGAGGAAGCCCAACAUUCUUUAACUAGCACCCCUGAAAGGAAGUUGGCUCUCAUUAUUGAUGGUAGAUGCCUGAUGUAUGCACUGGACCCAACUCUUCGUGUUGAUCUUCUUGGAUUGAGUCUAAGUUGCCACUCAGUUGUAUGCUGCCGAGUUUCUCCGCUGCAGAAGGCACAGGUAAAUAACAUUUCUUGAAGUACGACUUUCCUCUUACUGAAGAAUUAACAUUUAACAAUAUGGCAUUUUGUUGGGAACAAACCCACACACAGAGGCCAUAAACGGAAUAUUUUUUUUACUAGACUAGAUAUAUUACUAAUCAAUAUACAUUAUACAAUGGAUGCUUUAACUACUUUGGUUGGUUUUUACUCUUUAGCAUCCUGUUUACACUCAUGUACUUCUGAGUUCUGAGUUGCAUUUUCUGAUGUGUGAUCGUUCUGUUAUCAGCUGUCAUUAGGGUCUUUAGUUUGAGGUAUCAGCUAAUCUUGUAUAGGGUGGUGCACCAUGGUUCUGUUGUGAUACCAGUUCUCAUGUGCACCAUGGAUAUGUACAUACUUGGGAUGAGGUGUUGAUUGGUUAGGCCAUUCCAUUCCUCAAACCAAACCAGUAGGAAGAGAGGACUGGUGGGUCCAUUCUCAAAGCAAACAUGGCAGUAGUCUCUGAUUGAUUGUAUGGUUUCUCUAGCAUGUUAGAGUUACGUGAAAAUUUAAAAAUACUGACAUUUAAUGUGUAUAAUAUGUAGGUUACAAGCUUAGUUAGGAAGGGUGCUCAGAAAAUAACUCUCAGCAUUGGCGACGGUGCUAAUGAUGUGAGUAUGAUUCAAGCUGCUCAUGUUGGGAUUGGCAUCAGUGGCCAAGAAGGAAUGCAAGCUGUUAUGGCUAGUGACUUUGCCAUUGCACAGUUUCGUUUUCUUACUGAUUUGCUUCUUGUACAUGGACGGUGGUCUUACUUGAGACUCUGUAAGGUAUGGCUAUAAUUGCUCACCUUUAACUCUGCAUAUAUUUCAAUGUACUGAGUAUGAGAUGUUCUGUUGCAGGUUAUCACAUACUUCUUCUACAAGAAUCUGACAUUUACACUAACUCAGUUCUGGUUCACUUUCCAAACUGGCUUUUCUGGUCAGCGGUUUUAUGAUGACUGGUUUCAGUCUCUAUAUAAUGUUAUUUUCACGGCACUACCUGUAAUUAUAGUUGGAUUGUUUGAUAAGGUAUGAUUAUACUUACUUGUUUAUGGAGUUAUGUCUCCUGCAUUGCACUAAACUGACUCCUUUCAGGAUGUUAGUGCGUCACUGUCAAAAAAAUACCCACAGCUUUACAAGGAGGGAAUCAGGAAUUCAUUCUUCACGUGGAGAGUGAUUGCUGUGUGGGGCUUCUUUGCCUUCUAUCAGUCAAUAGUGUUCUUCUACUUCACUGCAGCUGCAAGUCGGCAUGGUCACGGUUCAUCUGGCAAGAUUCUUGGCCUAUGGGAUGUUAGCACUAUGGCCUUUACUUGUGUCGUGGUGACUGUGAAUCUCCGCCUUCUCAUGGCAUGCAACUCUAUAACAAGGUGGCAUUACAUAAGUGUGGCGGGCAGUAUAGUGGCCUGGUUUAUGUUUAUUUUCAUAUACUCUGCAAUAAUGACGUCAUUUGACAGACAGGUAAACUUGUUUACUGAUCUGAUCUGAAUAAUCUAUUGUUCCUGUGGUGGCUUUCUUGCUUCCUCACACGAUUUAUUGCUUUUGCAGGAAAAUGUGUAUUUUGUGAUUUAUGUUCUAAUGAGCACCUUUUUCUUCUAUCUGACAAUCUUGCUUGUUCCGAUCAUCGCCCUGUUUGGUGAUUUCCUAUAUUUAUCGUAAGAUACCUGAUUCCUUUGAAAUUAUGACAAGUUCAGCUUUUUACUUGACCAUGUCAACCAUCUCUGAUCCUGUUUUGUUGUCUCAGGAUUCAAAGGUGGCUAUUCCCUUACGACUACCAAAUAAUCCAGGAGCAGCACAAGGAUGAGCCCCACGAGUACAGCAGGGUGCAGCUACCAGAGACCAGCCACCUAAGCCCAGAGGAAGCGAGAAGCUACAUGAUCUCGAUGCUCCCUCGGGAGUCAUCAAAGCACACUGGCUUUGCCUUUGACUCCCCAGGAUACGAGUCGUUCUUCGCCUCGCAGCAAGGCGUCGGCGUGCCACACAAGCCGUGGGAUGUAGCCCGGAGAGCGAGCAUGAAGCAACAACGAGCAGGAAAAUCCUAAUCGCUCGAAAACCCCUCCCCUGUGUAAAGUUUUGUAUAUCUGGUUUCUUGAUCGCAGUCGCAGACCACAGGAGUUUGUAAAGGUAGGCCCUGUAGCCCUUUUUCGUGUUUGUCAGUGGUUCACCCAUAUGUUGUUUUGGGAUGAAAAGUAGGCAUCGGUCCAUUUUGGCUGUUAAAGAAUCGUGUAGGAAUACUUGGUAGAUACGUAUAAACCAAGGUGGUAUUGGAAAGGCAGUUAGGAAAGUUAUUUCUGGCGUUCAUUGCGUGGUGCAUACAGCUUUUCAACUUUUAGAGUUGAUUGGGUGGCGCAUGCAACUUAAAACCUGUUAUUAUUGGAGGCCUGUGCAUUGAUCAUAGCCCAUCUUAUUCUAAUAUAUAUAAGAACUUCACAUCCUGCUCCUAUACCUUGUGUAGAGCAGCUUUUGACCUUUUGUUCGGUUGGUGGCGGGGUAUGGCAACUAUCCUCCCUGAGUAUUUCGGAGAUUGCCUUGUGUAUACGAUGCACUAUCUUACUGGACUCUUGGUUUGGGCCUUGUUUAGUUCCUUUUUUUUUAAUUUUGACAUUAUAGCACUUUUGUUUUUAUUUGAUAAAUAUUGACUAAUUAGGCUUAAAAGAUUUAUCUCGUGAUUUACAGAUAAACUGUGCAAUUAGUUUUUAUUUUUAUCUAUAUUUAAUGUUCCAUGUAUGUGCUGUAACUUGUAAGAUUCAAUGUGACCGAAAUCUUGAAAAGAUUUUGGUUUUGGGGUGAACUAAACAAGGCCUUGGUGAAAGUGUGCAACGAAAUCUACAAGUCUAGUACAUGUACCAUGUACUGUAUGCCGUAGAAUUAGAACAGAAUGCAUGUUGCCACGCCCAGAGAGACCUUCAAUUCCCAUACAACCCUGCAGCGGCACUAAUAAUAACGACUGAAAAGCUUCAAUUAUUUCCUCGCUGGUUGCACGUCCGGCGACACGGCAGCCCAGAACUCGGCGUCCUGCUCCAGCGCUGCCAUGUGCUCCGGCGUCAGCACCACCUCCGCGUCGAUGCUGCCUCCGCCCUCCCGCCCCGGGAACAAGGACACCUUGCCGUCGUACUUGUUGGCCUUGCCGCCCCGCACCGCCAGCACCUUCCCCCACCCGAAGUCGCAGCCGUACAUGUCGAACCGGGGCGAGCUGCUAAUAAACAUUGCGUUCGGGUCGAACAGCCUGAACGCCGACAGCCCCGGCUUCGCCGUCCACGCUGCCGCAAGCGCUCGGAUGCCCGCGUCCGUGUGCGCCGCCACCGCGCGGCCCACGGCGGCCGCCGCCCACCCGUGCCCUCGCGCCAGCAGCUCCGACGCGCGCACCGCCUGCGUCGAGACGGCGUUGAUGGCGUUCCCGAAGUACUCCGCCGGGAGCGGAGGCCGGAGCCGCGCACGGUUGUUGGCGGACGCGCGGAACACCACCUCCUGGUCCGGCGCCGUGCGCCGCGCGCGGACGAAGCACCUCCAUAGCAGCGAGCUCAGCGCCUGGAAACUUGUCACGGCGGCCGCCCCGGCCGUGUCCCCGGCUGCCAGGAGCUCCUGCCGCGCACGCUCCUUGAGCGCCGCCAGGGACUCCGCCGAGAAGUGCAGCAUCCGGUCCCUCUGCGGCGGCGGCGGCAGCGUCGGCCUCGCGAUGAGCCCCUCCAGGUCGGCGUAAGGGAGCACGACCGGCGCCGCCGCCCUGCCACUACCGUCGGGCGACCAGCGCUCGAAAAGGGGCGGCGUGCGCGGCGACGCGAGCACGCCGGGGGAUAGCCUGGCCCGCGCGAUGUCCGCCCACGCGUUGAUGAAGUUCCAGAAGGCCGUGCCAUCGGAGAGCGCGUGGUUGUACACGAACCCGACGAAGACACCGUCGGCGAGCUCGGUGACCUGGACGACGAAGAGCGGGCGCUCGUGGCCGUCGUAGUUGAUGGCCUCGUUGAGCGGGAAGAAGGAUCGGACCACGCUCGGGACAUCGGCGUCGGGAGGGACGACGUCGGCGACCGCGACGCCGUCCGCGACGGCCUCGAGGACCUCGACGCCCUGCCCGGCGCAGUCGACGGACACGGAGCAGCCGACGACGUGGUCCUCGUCGUCGUCAUGGUGCUGGUCGAUGGCGAGGCGGCCGGCGACGGGGUAGUAGGUGGCGAUCGCAUCGGCGAGGGCGGCCUGGAGGUGGUCGACGAGGUGGGUGAAGGUGGAGAAGCAGGGCGGCGGCGCGAAGAGCAGGCCCUUCUGGAUGUAGUCGGCGGAGAGCAAGGAGAGGUCCCAGGUGGUGAGCGGGAUGCGCUCGCGAGGCCGAGGCGGCGGCUUCACGGUGCGCCUCGACACCACUUGCACCGGUGACUGCUGCAUCCUCCUCGAUCUCUAUUGGAACGCAGUUGCGCACGAUAAAGUUCACUCGAGGGAGCUGCUUGCUGAUUCUUUUUCUUCGGGGAUGCAACAAAUAACAACACCCAUGGAGAUAUAUAUGUCAGCCUGGCGGCUCUGCCAACCCCUAUGGUGAUUAUGUAUUAUACUCAUAUUUUCUAUUAUACAAUACAAUGAGCUAAGAUGGUGGCCUCAAGCUCGGGUCGUCUGUUAUUAAUCCACAACUGUGGUUCCUGCAGGUCGCACAUGGAAUGCUCACGGAAAUUGCCGUGCCCAAUGGCUAGUGUCCAUCGGUAAACCUAGUAUUUCUUUUAAGAAAGACGUCUUCAAUUCAUAUUGGAUUUCAUUAAAAAAUAACUGUUAUGACCGGAUUUGCUUGGUACUCCUAGAAUAGUCAUAUAUUGGUUGCAUUAUAUAUAUAUACAACGCAGAAUUCGUCACUACCACAUCCGUAAGAAACCUGACAGCUGCUCUUGAAGUGACAAUAAAGCUAGUCUCAAUGCAUGCUCUAUCAAAAUAUCAUGCACAUUAAAUAUGGUGCCAUAUAAAGCAAAUUAGUGACUUAUUAGGUGUCGAGAUCUUCCGUCUGGAACACCUAGGCCUUGUUUAAUUUUUUAAAAAAAAUUACAAAAUCUUUCAGAUUCCUAGUCACAUCGAAUCUUUAGACACAUACACGGAAUAUUAAAUAUAGACAAAAAUAAAAACUAAUUACAAGGUUCACCUAUAAUUUGCGAGACGAAUCUUUUGAGCCUAGUUAGUCCAUGAUUAGACAAUAUUUGUCAAAUACAAACGAAAAUACUAGAGUAUCCAUUUUAUAAAAACUUUUGGAACUAAACAAGGCCCUAGAUCGAGACAAAGAGUGUAAUCCUAGCCUCACCGGCUUCAUCCACCACUCACACCAACUUUCGCAGGAGUUGAGAGAGAAGAGAGUUCAGAUACAGAUUAGACGAGAGGUUGCACUUGCAGGGGAUGAAUAUGGAUGAACACACAGUCUGGCGAAAAUAAGGUUGGUCAGGACUAUUAUACUUGGACUCUUGAGAAUUUCAUAAUUCUCUCUAUGUUCUUGUGCCUUAGAAUCUUAUGAAUAAUCUCUUGUAACUUUUUAGGAUGAUUGAUUAUAGUUGUAAUUAUAUAUAAAACUUAUUUAAAUUAAAAUCUAGAUUACCUAGGGACGAACUAAUCAAAAUUUAAACUGAAAUCUUAAGUAGUUUGUUGCCAAAAUAAAUGUGUCUAUCCAAUUUCUGAAGUGGGGCUUCCAUGUGGAUAACCGAGAUAAAUCUCUCACCGUAAUUAGACAUGUCGACAAACUCCUGUCUAAGGGUAUUUGGGACUGCUCUGCUUCAUGUUUUUCCGCUUCGCUCUACGUUUUUUAGCCAAACGGUUUUAGCUCCACGCACUCAGUUCGAGAAAAAAGGGUGGAGUUAUGAGAGCACCUGAAGAGGUACUCCACAAACUCCAGUUUUUUAUGAAGCUGCUCCACGAUGGAGUUUAUGAAGCAGAGUUUGUGGAGCAGUCCCAAACAUCCCCUAACUUUAAUUAGAGAUUAAAUUCGUAUUGUAUGGGUCAUCCGAGAAAUUUACGGAGCUCUCGAUAUUUGACUACAAGAACAUAUGUGAAUACUAUAAUAAUUAAAAUUAUGAUGCAUUUUCAUCUAAAUAUUUUUAUGCUUUGUAACGAAAAAAUCAACCAAGAAUGUUUUUUAGUUCCAUAUAUACAUAAAAAAUAUCAAAUGUAAAUAAACAUAUAUCAUUUCGUCAUAUUUGCAAGUUUAGUAUAAAAUGACUGGAGGUUCCUCAUAGGUCGAGUUUUUAUUAUUUGAUUUUGUGCUGAAUAACCCAGGCCCAAAGGCCUUGCAAUUUCGAGGACUUUCAACACGGCCCUCGUGCCUGCUUUUAACGGUCCAGCCCAGCGUUUGAGUGGGCUUAAACUUCCUGGGCAUCAGCGCUGCCAUAGCCGAGCGGAGAUCAUCUGGAGCCGGCGGGACCCGGCGACUACCCUGCACCGGCACGGCGCCAAUGGAGCCCGAGGCGGCGGCGCUGUCGCAGCUGCAGCUGCAGCUCCUCGCCCUCGUCUCCGAGUUCCGCCUUCUCCGCGUUAGCCAACCGUGAACCGCCCACCCCGCCUUGCCUUCUAGACUCUUCCAGACCCACGCACUAACAACCGCCCCCCAUUUUCCGUUCGCAGGAGCGGGAGCGCGGCGCCCGCGAGGAGCUCCGCGACGCCGGCCAGGUGAGGGGCUUCUCUCGGUGUUUAUUAUAGGGUCAUGUGCCACGUCCGCUGAUGGAGGUUUUCUGUGUUCGGGCAAUCUAGCGCAGAGGUGGGAAGCGGCGGCGGAGGAGCACCGUAGGGAGGCCCGGGAGCUGCGAGCCGAGGUGGCCGCGCGGGACGACUCGAUACGGAGGCUCGAGGCCAGGGUUCGUGCUCCCUCACCAUUUCUCUCCUGUUUUCAUCAUACUUGUUCACUGGGCCGCGGCUUCUGGUUUGAUAUUAUGUUAUGGUUGUCAGUUUUAGGUUGCGUUGUUGUUGGAGACCUGUUCCUCGUUAGGUUAUGCUGCCCAUUUUGUCUGUAUCUCUGGUGGGUCCUUCCAAUGAUAUGUGUUCCUCGUUAGGUCAUGAUUCUGGACAGUAUCCAUCAUAUGUGUGCCAUUGCUUACAAGUCAGUGUCGUCAUUCCAUAUGGAUAAAGCUAGUUGCCGAUACCAUUUUGAUGUAUUGGCCUCCUAGUUGGUAUUUCCAAUUAUUGUGCUUCUGUACAGAUAAAGUGCCUUGAGAAUGAGAAUGAGCUGCUGGAGAAAAACGAAAACAACUUGAAAGAAAGCAUGGAGGUGCUGCUUCAAUCAAGGGAGGCUUUCAUAAAACACUAUGAGGCAGGUAGCUUCCUAUUUUGUUUGCCCACUUAUUUUGGGCCACCAUUUAUUUUGCAUGCUAUGUAUACAAAUUACUAAACUUGCUAGUGUAUAUCUCUGUCUUCGCCGCAAUCACACAUUUGUGCAAAUCUUCUUUCAGUUAACCUACUGAAGUUUUUAUGUUUACAAUCAUGAAUCAUCAUCCCCUCAAAUAUGGCUUCUCAAACCAAGAGGAUGAUACAACAUAUUUACUGCUCCCUUUUUUAGUUAUGUUUGGUUUCCUUGCUCAACUUUGCCUACUAGCCUUGCUUGCCAAGGUUGGGCAAUGCUGCAAAGCAUACCUUGCUAGGUGAGGAUAGUCAAGUUGGCUCUCUCUCAAAAAGCAUUUACAUCUUUACCUCCCAAUUCAAACCAAGCAAAGGAAUAGAACAAGCUUGCUUGUUCUCUGACCCUGCUAAGUUGUACGCAAGAGAACCAGACAUGCCUGCAUCUUUGAUAACGCUUCAUUUUUUUUGUACAAUGCCAAUUGCCAAUUAUAAGUGAUGUAGAAGCAUUUAUUGGUUGGAAUUUGAUGAAAAUUGGACAUUGUUUACUAUCAUUGAAUUCACGUAAUUUGAUUUUGUUUUUUCAAUGGUUUUAGCUUAGGUUCUCAAUCAACCUAUGCAUGGGAAAAAACUGACAUUUGGCUCAUAUACCAAUAUACCAUGUUCAUAGGCAGGACUCUACUUGUUCUAUGCAAUGGACAAUCCAGAUGAAGGACAAACAGAUUGCUGUAAUUUCGGAGAAAUUGAAUUCACAUCUUGUUUUAUUUAGUUCGGUAGAAAAGGAAGUUGCUGCUGUGAAACAAAUACUAGGUGAUGUGCAUUGUCUGGUUGGUGAGAAGGAAAAUUUAGGUAUGGCUAUGAUCACUCUUGACACUUUGAUUCUCCAGCUAUCUGAUUACUCUAUUUCAUUUUGAUUAUUAUGUUUCACUGCUUCUCUGAUUAUUAUGUUUCCUUACCGUCACUUUUAUUGUUAUUUCAGUUGCUGACUUGAAGGAUAAAGUCCAAAGGAUUUCUGUGCUUGAGAAAGAUUUUGUAGGUAUAUCCUCUUCUUGUGACUUUCUUGAUGAGAUUGUGUUUUCUAUAUGAUGAUAGUGGCUACUGUAUAUGCAUGAUUUCUUUUUAUCUUCUACUAUGCAGUAACUCUCAUGUUUCAUUUAUGCAGAGAAACUUAAUUUCUUGGAAAGCAAAAUCAGUGCAUACCAGCUUGAACUCUGUAGUAGGGCAAGGAUCAUAUAUGAGUUAAAAAAUCACCUUGAGGCUGAGAAGCUUAACAACAGUUUUCAGCCCCAUCUGGAAGAAAUAUCCAUUAACUAAGUCAAUAAAUUGCAUAAGUUUGAUUUUCAGUUUAUAUCAAAAUCACAUCAGUUGUUUUCUACCUUAAUGAUGUUACCUUAAGAAAACUUUGUUGGUGAAGGAUGAGAUUAUUGAGAGAUUAACUUCAGAGAAUCAGGUGAUUCUGUUAUCAAUAUUUCAACUUUCCAGUUGCCUAGAAGAUCCAUAUUGAAUGCCUGUUUUUGCAGGCAAUGCGUUUGGAAGUUCAUAAUAUGGAAAUUGCUUUACAGAAAUUUCAAGAUUUAUUCAGUAGUAUAGGGCAUGCGGUAAGAUGUAAAUAUUUUAGUAAAAAGUUGAAUGUCAUCUUUACUGCUCAUAUUAUCAGUCUUGCAUUAUAUUAUAAUUUCUUCAUCAUGUCUGUAGCUAAGUACUAUUUGUUCUUGAACUUAUUGAGUACUAGGGAAUGAAGAGUUUUUCAGCAAUUUCUGAAAGUCAGGAUGUGAAUAAUGAGCAGCUUGAAAGGUGAGUGGUUCAUUAAACAUUUAUUGUUCCAAUCACAAAUUGACUUCUUUUUUUUUAAAAAAAAACUGAACAUGCUGUAUGUUGUGCAUGGUGAAACAAUUAGCAUUCCAGGUACACAAUGUGGUUUAGCAAAUGAGCAUACCUCGGUAACUGCAGUUGUCAAAGAAGGUAAGUCCUCCUUUUCCUCUUUUAAGAGCAUGGUUUCAAUCCGUCCUUAUGAGACCUGGAUGUCAUUAUCAUAAUAUAUAUUUACUCUCUGCAGUGACACACUUGGUUUCCAAAAACUCUUAAUAAUCUUUCUUUGUUCAAGUUCCACUGUAGACUAUCUAAGUUAUCCAACUUCAUAUCCAGUUUUGCACUUGGCAUAUCAUUGUUGGACCAAAUUUUUUAACAUUGACAAUUUGCUUCCACUUUAUGCUCUUCCAUUUGACGUUUCUGAUUUCUACUUUGUCUCUUGUGUGUCAAUCUGUCAACUAUUCUAUUUCUAAAUUUCUACAGCCACCACACAAAAUGUUGACCACCAGUUGGAAACUGAUCCAAGCAGCAUGCAAGUAGAAAGCCCAGUGCACUUCAAGGUAACUUGCCUAUUACUUCAUCGCUUAUCUAGUCUAGCAUGGGUAAAAAACUCGUCUUCCAUAGUUCUGUAUCAUAUACUGAGUUCUCUUCAUGCUUGUAGUCUGGUGCCUUGCCAUCUCCGGAGCUAGUAGCUGCGAAUACAGAAACAGCUGGCAGCCUUCUUGAACCCAAAGGAGACAUUGAUAUGGUAUGGGAUCUUACGCUCCUUACACUAUGGGGUUGUUUGGAGCACAUAUUUUGUGGAAAUCAAAAUUCCUAGAACAGAUUUUAACCUAACUACCUGAAAAAUGUUGUUUGGAAACUCAUUUAAAGAAAACCCAUUUUUCAUAAAAAAAACCCAGUCGUGCACUUUGUGAAAAAUGAUUACUUUAUGAAAACCGGCUCUCAAAAAGUCAUGCUUGCUGGUGUCGAUUUGGUGGUUCAUGUUCACUUCACUAAUUAAGAUCUGGGUGAUCUGGGUUAAAGGUUAAAGCAGCACUCCCCUGGGAUUGUCGUGUCUGCAACCCUGCAUGUGCACCAACAUUACUGCAUGCUCCUAAGACCCGCACUCCGUAUUUGGCCUGCUGAUUCAAUUUUUUUCUUCGUCAUGAAGUGUGUUGCUUCACACCUGUCUUCUUUCUGAAGGCUUUAGCCAUAUUGCUGGUGGCCCACUCAAUUAGUGGUGCUGGUUCACUGGGACACGGGGAGCAGGGAGGUGCAUGGUGGACUGCUGCUUAGCUAGGGCAUGGCUAGCAGUGUCCACUCAUGUUACUGCUGCUGGACACUGACAAACAGGAGCUGAAAGAGUAGCAAUGUCGAUUUCUCUAUUGGCUAUGGCUUAGGUGAGUAAAAGAGGUGGUUAGGAAACAGUAUUUUGUUCAUACUGUAUCAAGAACGAGAUGAGAUCACACUUUUUUUUGGCCCAAACAGAGUCUAUGCAAAACAAAGUUUCACGUUACCUGCAAAACCUGAAGUCAGCGAAAUCACUACCUACAGCUCUCUUUUCCAAAAGUUGCUCUUAAAUUGUAAUUUUCGAAAAGAGAUUUGUUGUUCAUCAGAUCCAAACAACCACUAUAAGCCCGAAGCCCCCAAGCAUCUUCCUUACAUGAUAAGUUAUAACUUUAAAAUACAACACAUUAUGCUGGUUGACUGAACUUGGUCUUUUGCAGGGUGGUUUAUCUCCUGCACGACCAACAGAUUGUUUGAAUCUGGAUCCUGACACGGAGAAUCAGUCCUAACCAUGCAAUUUGUAUCCCUUCACACCUGGAAUUUGGAUAUGGAUAGUUACUGAUUCCGUGGCUGGUUGUCGAGCAUAUUUUCUUCUCCCUAGUUGAUCACCCCCCCCCCUCCCCCCCUGUUCCCCUGUUUGCAUAGGUCCAUUUAGUUAGCCGCUAAAGAGAGAGAUCAGGUAGUGUAAGGUGUAUUUGGUUUUCGGUUUUUGUUCUGUUAACGUGGGGUGUCUUGAGAAGUGUGCAGCUAUGUAAAAGGUCUUGUAGUGUACUGCCUACCGAGUUAUCCGACACUGCUUUAUCUUUGAUUUGGCAAAGAAGUAUGGUUAUUAAGAGCAAUGGAAAUGUAGUGUGAGUACUCAUCUGGUUACAGUUUUGGUACAUUUGUAUCUGAAUUAGGAUAUGCUGUCACAUUGGGUAAUAACUAGUAACGUGAGUUGUUUGAAUGAUUGCCAACAAGAGGCAAACUGAACGAGUGUUUCGCUGUCACAACAAAUCCAAAUAUUUUGUUUGGUUAUAAUACCCUGGAAUGGUCUAGCUGCAUGAUUUGCUUUUGAUUUAUGUGCAAUCUGAGAAUGGUUUCACUGAAGUUAGACUUGAUAUUUGCUCUUUCCAUGCACUUACAAAACAGCAAGAGCUUGCUCAUCAACCUACCAGGACCAUUACAACGGCAUUGUUAAUGCUGAUCCUUCUAUCCUCGUCUACGUACGUGAAGGAGCAUGCUAUUGAAAUGAAGGAAGGAAGGAAGGAAGGAAGGAAGGAAGGAAGGAAGGAAGCACGCACGCAUGGUAUGGUAUGGUAUCUGAAAUGAAAUGGAAUGGAAAUGGAAUCAAAAUGCAGUCCAAGUGGCACUCCUCUGCCUGGGCUUGAGCGACACGUGCAUGCCGUCUCCCUCCGCCAUGAGAGAGCCGCACUUGGCGGCAGGGAUGCUGUUGGGCGUGAGCGCGCCUGGCCUGGGCGACGGGAACCUCGGCGGCCUGCCCCGUGGCGACAGGCUGACCUCCUCGAGCGCCCGGAACUGGAGCUCGGACGGGUAGUCGCGGACGCAGCCGAUCCGGGGCCCGGCGCCGGUGCUCCAGUGGAAGUGCAGCUGCUUGCCGAGCUGGUACGAGUGCAUGGCCCGCUUGGAGUUGAUGCGGCUGAGGAUGAGCGCCUCCGGCACCUCCGCCAGGUCGUCCAGGUACUGGUCCUCGUACCCGCCGUCCUCCGCGAACAGGUUCCGCUUGCAGAAGUCGAGGCACUCGCCCAGCAUGGCCGAGUCCGGCUCCACAUCCUUCACGCCGGGCGACGGCGCCCUGCCCGCGUUGCCGCCGCCGCUGCUGCUGUGCGCGGUGGGCGGCAGCGGUGCUAUGUUGUUGUUGGAGCUGAUCAGCAGCCUGGGUGGCCGCUUCCCUUGCAGCCUGUUGUCUGAGGAGCUCUUCCUCAUCGUCGUCGCCGUCGCUGGCGACGGCGUGCUGCACGUCUCUGUAGAUGUGGCUUCGUCGUGGCUGCACGUCUCGGCUUCGGCUUCGGCGUUGCCAUGGCGUUGAUCAGAUUCUGCCUCCUGUUCACCAUGGCUCUCUUCUUGCUGGCAGAGUUGGGUCAGGUCCAGCUGAGAGUGGCUGCCUCUCAGGCUGAAGUCACCGUCUUCUUCACCUUCAGAUGGGCUCAACUGUAGCAAAAGAGAAAAGCCAGCAAAAUAAUCAGCUGAAGCGUCUGGGAUGAUCACCACUGUGAGGCCACACAUUAGGCUCCUUCCUUACUACCUUCACAUCGGUAAGCUCCACACUCCUGUCCUUGAGGAAGUUCAUGAACUCCUGAAAGUUCUGCUCCGUCGGCCGAUAAUGCCCACUGUGAGGCCACACAGCCUGAAAUGAACACAUCUCAAACUUGAGAGCAAGAAAAAAGAGAUCGGUGAUGUUGGGAUGAAGUUCCAUGCCGCACCUUGAGAAUUCCAUCCUCCACAACCAGUCUUCCUGCAGCAGAUGUGGCCCCCCCUGCAAGGAAGCUUGAGUGCUGGAAUACGCCCUUCUGCUUCUGCAAACAUGUCAAAAUUUUUGUCUCACUUCAGUAACUGAAUUGCUCUUAGCGUUCUAAAGAAUUCUUUCAGGGAAUCAUCAUUCACCUGGCCUAUGUAAAGAGUCUUGCAGGUACUGAGCACAAAGAUCCACUUGGUCCCCUUGGCGCUUCCCGUCGUGUCGACUAUCUGACGGCUCAGCUUGUACAUCAGCCUCUUAUCCUCGACUAUCACUUCAUAAUUUUCCCUUUCUUUCUACACGAGCACGAGACGACAUAUUUGGUUUUUUUCCCCCUUUCUUUCUGCCUGAAUUAAUGUUUCUUUUUUCACUUUGAAUCAGAGAAGGAACAAACAGUGGAACUUACAGGGCCAAGGUACUUGAUACAUUGCUUGUGCAACUUCGAUCUACAGCAAUGCUCCUCUAAGUUGACAUCUUUCCCUUCUCCCACAUCCAACCUGUCCAAAGAAUUUCAAAACCGUCAGUACUGGAUCAGUAACUAUGUUGUUCAUUGGUUCAGACACAUGACUUUUGCUCUCUGUGUGUACCAAUAGAAGAAUGGUUGCUUGCUCUGGCAAUGGAGCCAGCGGUGGUAGUAGAAGUGCAGGUUGUGGCCAUAACGAUGUCGAGGGUCAAUCUGACAAUCAGAAAUGGAUCAAAAUGCAGUUUUGAUUGCUCAGCGGCAUAAUCUGACUAGUAUUACAUUUAUGGAGACAUUUAUAUUCUUGGUACAUAACAUACCGCCUCGAGCCAGUGCUGCAGCGCAAGUUUCUGGGCCUUUUCAUCCUUGGAGAGACCUUUGCCAACCUAAACGCGACAGCGAUACUACACCUCUGUCAGGAAUGCUGUAUAUAUGUUCCAUGAAAAGAGAACUGCUGAUACAAAGUUGGUAUUGCACUGUACAAGAUUAAUAAUGCUGAUUGCUGAAUUAUUAUGAUGGUAUAUCUGAACAGAAGAAUACAAUUGGUACCUUGGCAGCCCUCAUUCUUGCCCGGGACCAUUUUGAGACAGCAGUCUCAGGCUUCUCUAUGUCAAAGAAUGACACCGAGUUCCGCUUGAGCAGUGCAAAGUCAAGCAACUUCCACCUGCAUUUUAUAUAGGAUCUCAUCAUAAAUAAAAUUCAGAAAAGCACCACCUUGAUGGCGGCUUGAUGACAAGAAGAAGCUCACCCAACCCAACAAAUAGCAUACCAUCGUUGUUCCACAAGAACAGCACAAUCCGCAAGCUGCCGCCUUGUCCUGAAGCUCUUGUACACCUUCUGCAGCCUGACAGCCGCGGCCUGGUGCUUGGGGCUGUCCAUUCCGACCAUGGGGUAAUCAAAAUCUGGUGGACGGUCCCCGAUUGGCCCGAAUCUUGAUGAGCCACAAGUAGCUGUAGCAGCACCAGCACAGAUGAUGUUGCAAGCUUCUCUAUCAGGAGGUUUAGGACUCCUGAUGGACAACACAUUCUGCAUCGGAAUGCUGUCAGCCUCUCUCCUUUUGAAGCUCAGGGAGCCUUCUAUGAUGAGCUUCCCGGAGGCAAAGGCGGGGGGCAAUGCCGAAGGCGAAGUCGAAGGCGAAGACAAAGGCGACUCGGCGUCGGCCUCCAUGUCGUCGAAGCUGAGAGACCGGAUGAAGAGCCGCCCCAUGUUGUCCUCCACUGCUGGCAGGUAGUCGUCCGGUGGGUAUGAGAUUGACAGCCCCAUUUCCCCUGAUGCCAAGAUGUGGUGCCACACAGACAAAGGCCUUCGCCGUCUUUCUUCUUUUUUUUUUCUCUGAUUGGAUUAGAUUGGAUUCGGUUGUUGGAUUGGAUCUCACAAUCUGCGGUCCGUCUCAGCCAAUCUGCAUGUGCCAAGAAAGAAUGGACACCAAGUUCAAGUUUUGUGAAUGCGUAAGAACUGUUUCAGAAGAACACAUUUGAAGCCCUGUUUGGGUUGGGUUCAUGCUUCUCUUUGCAAACAAUUUCCCAUCUUCAGGAACAGAUUGCAGGUCAGGAUGCAAGGAAUAGACAACAAUCAAGGAAGGGAAGAAAGAGAACAUGCAUGAUGCAACUCAACAAGAACAGCCUCAAUCUCCUUCAAACUUUGUGUCUUCCUUGUAAAAUCGAAAGGACCCAUUAUCUAUCUAGUCUAGAAAACUAAAUGAUACUACAAACAUAUACAAACCAACAACAAUCAAGAAACAUACCUUGCCUCCAAGAGAAAUCCAAAUCCUGGUGCCAAAGCAAGUUGCAACCACCUCAGAGGCAGGCUCCUUGAUUGUGAGACAGACAGGCUUGCUGUGAGGCAGAAAGCUAUUUUGUGAAGCGCAGGGGGCCGGCCAAUGGGGAGGAGAUUUAGGAGGAACAGAAUCUAAAUGGGGCGGUGGCCAUACGGGGAAGGUAGGUGGCAGGAGCUAGCCCAAAAGCCCCUGCACUCUAUAAAUAACAAACCAAAACUUGCGGUGUCCUAUCCUAGCUAGCUCCCUGAUCAAAAGUCUGUCUGUCACUGACAGAUUUGAUGAGUUAUAAAAAAUAAGUACUUUACUAACAUAACAACAAGUUAGUAGCACUUAACAUGCAUGUAAGUACAGGUUAUUGUCUGAUACAAGGAGCUUUCACGCUGGUCCUCUUUGCCUUGAAAAAUGCGUUCUGAAAGAAUUGAAAAAGGGAUCAAGAGUGUGCUGGCAACAGAUGGCCGGUCUAUUCCGUCUUUUUUGCCCCGUGUGCUUCUCGUCUCGGCAAACUUGACAAUUCGUGGGUAGCAUCGUGUCUCGAUUUUUGUUUUGGGUAUUUUAUAGGAGAAAAAUAUAUAUACAAGUCAAAUUUGCAGAAGAAUUAUUUUGCCGACACAUAGCAUGAUGCAAUGCAACAGACAUUAGGACUAAUCAGUGGUAUUAGAUUAAAUCAAGAUCUGGUGAUCCAUAUUCUUAUCCAAGUCUACAUCGGAAUGACCAGAGGGGUCGCUUUCGGUUGGCAGUUGAAUCUCAUGAAGAGAGCCAUUAACCCUUUGACAAAUGUUAGCACGGGAAAACAGUAAUAAUAAGCUGAUUAAAAAGGUGGCCACAAGUCUACUCCAGCCAGCUCUCCAUGACCAACUCCAUGACAAGGCAAUCUUAUUAAGCUGCAAUAUCAUGAGCCCUAGCUUUCUAAUUCCCUUUUGAAAAGGAUCCAGCUCAACACUUUAGCCCAUUGCUAAUUUAACUUUUGCCCAUCACAACUAGACAGCGACUUCUCAGAGACUCAGACGCAAAGUAACUCAACGAUCCACACGUUAUGUCCUGGAGUAUGUACGUAGACAUUUGUAUUCCAGAGAAACCAGUAUCUAUCACUGUAUAUACUUCCUCUAUCGCAGAAAGCAUGUAAAUCUCGUUUUUGAAGAUUAGUGUAGGUGUAAAUUUAUGCAUUUGUCUCUUCUCUAUCUUUUUUUGUUGUCUUCUAGAAUUUUCUUCUCAUGGAUGGUAGUUUUUAGUCAUAUAUGGAUAUUUUUAAUUAGUGGAUCCUAUUAAAAAAGAUGAUAUAUAACUCUAUAAUUACAUGUUUUUUAAGAUAAGAUUUAACAUUAGAAUUACAUUUUUUUUUAGGCGAAGAGAGUAGAAGAAAAUGUGAAUGAAGAGCAUAUGCAUAUGUAAUGGCAGAUUAUUAAAAAUGAAGUAGAAAAAAAACCACUCCUGUACAAACAAGCUCGCAGAGUCUUGUACAGUUGUACGAAUAAAUAAUUGAAAUUAAAAAUGGCCCAGACUGAGAUGGACGGCCGACCAGGUCUCGGGAGUCAAAAGGCGAGAGACAAGGCAAAGCUGGCAAGGCGUCGGAAGGCAGGUCCGAUUCUGCAAUCCAUCACCGGCACGCACGUACACGGCCGUACAUGGUCGCCGUACAGCAUGCUGCAAUCAACCAUCAUCCCACGCGCUUUGCUGUUCCUGGAUUUUCUAGGAUGCACGCUGCACGGUCGGAUCAUAUAUAGAGCUCGAUCGGCUACAGCAAUGCAUAGCGCCAUAGAGCAUGCUUGAUCAAUUAUUAUACUCCCCUGCUCCAAAACAAGUGAUUUUUUUUUACUUCUAGUCAUUUUAUUUGACUAUUUAUCUUAUUCAAAAAUUUUAUAUAAAUUAUAAAAUAAAUAAAUUAUUAUUAAAAUAUCUCUAAUGCUACAAUAAGUCAUAACAAAAACAGUGAUAUUUAUAGAAAAGAUGAACAAUCAAACAAGACGUGUAAAAGUAAAAAAAAAAGCACUAAUUUUAGGACAGAUGUUGUAUAAUACUAAAAAUUAGCUACUCUCUCCGUCCUAAUUUAUAUAUUGUUUUCAUAUUUAUAGAUACACAAAUUUAAUUGAUGUAUUUAAAUAUAUUGUAAAAUUCAUGUACUUACGUAAGCCAAAAUGAUCUAUAAUUUAGGACAGAUGUUGGUAACUAUUAAUCUUUAGCAAGAGGCCGUUUGGUGGUUGGAUAGUGGGUUGGAGAUGCAUAUAAACAGUUAGAAUCUACUUUUUGCCCCUUUUGAUUUAUCGCUAUGGUAUGCGUGUCGAUUAAACUUUCUUAAAUUUGACUAUAUAUUAUAGAAUUAUUAAUGAUAUUUGUAUCUCUAUAUAUUUUUAUGAUAAUACAUUGAACUAUCUCUCUAAUGAUACUAACAUGUAUCAUAAAUAUUAAUUUUUUGCCGCUAAUUUUUAGUAAUAAUGGAUCCAUAAAUUGCCCUUAGGCUAGCGUUAAGUAAGUUCUUACACACUUUGCCAAAGAAAAAUAAUUCAACCUAAAGUUGACAAUACAAUUAGAUAGAGAAUCUAAUUUCUCUUCUUAUAAUUGGAUUCCCCACCUAAUUGCACGUUUAAAUCAAAAGGCUAUGAAAGGGCACAUGGCUCUCUAGUGGGUUUUGGUGAGUUAAUGAUAGUCAAUUUAGGAACUAAUCAUAUUUUUGCGAGACGAGCUGUAUGAACUUAUUCAUUUGAGUAUAGUAUGUCACAUUUGUCUAGUCGACCUACUUGUAGAUGGAGAUGUUAAUGAUGUAUUUGAUGAAGAUGUGCUCGUUGUACCAAUUGAUGAUGCAUGUAACCACAUGCCAAAUAGAUAGAGUCUUGUUUCUUGUAAUUGUCAUGAAGCCUAGGUAUGAUGAGAAGGCAAUUAUUACCCCCACGCACAAAAACACCCUCUUUGGAAUUCUCCGAUAUCAAGCUCUGCUGCCCCCUAUUUGAAUUUCCCAUGUGUUGUCAUCUACAGUUGCCCAACACUGCCUAAGCUCUAGUGCCCUACUCUCCGAUGACACCAGAGUUAUUAGGAUUUGUGCCGUUGUUUUUGUAUUAUGCUAGGGUAGUGAACUAAACUCGAGUGGGUAAGCUCUGGUGAGGGUAAAAACCCUUCACCGAGCUCCUCUUCUCAAACCUUUUCAAAUGACUAACCCCAACAAAUCUCCCACAAGAUGACUAACAUCUUUAGUCUUGAGUUAGCAUUUUCAAAAUAUUUUUUAAAGGUUUUCACUUGAUUCUUACCACACCACUCUAUUCAUAAUGCAUAUGUAAUGUUAGAUCUCACCUUGUGGCAUUUGAUGACUGCAUUAGCGAUGAAUUUACCCACCUUUAUAAUAUGACUAUCUAUCCUAAACAACCCAGCCAUUCAUCUUAUCUAAUCACCACCUGGUCGGUAAAAACAAAGUCCUAUGUAAAUAUCUUUGCCUUCAUUUUUUCCAUCCUUUGCUCUUCUAUCAUCCAUCACCUUCAAUACUUUACUUGCGAGUCUUUGCGCCACUUGUUCUUUGUCAUCUCCAUCAUGGCCUUCAUGUUGCUCAACUCUAGUUUGUGGACUAACCUUAACCUUUCAUCUCACAUGAAAACAUAUUAGUAUACAGUCGUUGCCAUUCAAUUACCAAAACUAACAAAUCUUUUAUUCGGACCUCAUUGAGCUGCUGCUAAUGGUGGUGCAUGGAGAACCUUAUGGCUAUGUUGAGUAAGGGAUCUUGUCGCUGGACUUGCUUUUGAGUCGGCCACCCCACAUUGAGAAUCAUGGUCCUAUAAACUCUCCGUGUCAGGAAUUGACCUCCCGACCUCCUUCACUUGGCCCACCUCCAUCAUCACUCGUCAUCACCCAUCUCGUUAUUACCAUAUUGAUGUCCAGGUCAAUGGUGUGGAUCCAAUAUGUGAAAGGGAAAGGGUCUGAUUUGAGCUAUAGGUCUUGAACUUGAUGAGGCCACUAAUAGGGAGAGGAGGAUGAGGAGAGAGGCGGUGAUGACCGCAUGGUUCGUAGAGGCGGGUAGGGGAGAAAUCAGAGGUCAAUUCAUGGAGUGAAGGUGGAGUGAAAAACGUAGAAAGACUCUACAUAUAGGUACUCGAUAGAUGGUUUUUAUUAGAAAAUUAAAGAGAUAUAUAGGAUAAAGGGAGGAACCACACGAGGUAGGGGAGACGACUAGGCAGAAAAUAGCAUUUUAUGGAUUGCACGAUAAUCUUACACUAUUUUUAUGUGUUUUUAGUUGUAAAAGAAGAGAUUAUUAUGGUUCGACACUUGACGUUGAGAGCCCACAUUUGCAGUGAAUGAAUCAGUGACACGCUCACAAGACUCCAUCUAAGAGCAACUCUAAAAGGUUCUUUAUAUCUUUAUUUAUUAUUAGGAAUAGAGAUUUUGAUUAAAAAAUUUCAUCUACAUCUUGUAGUUAGAUCUGUCAUCUUCUAUUCUACAUUUCUCAUAGUCAAAGAUAGAAAGUAGGAUUAACUCUGUAAAGUGUAUAUAAGAACGGUUGCAAGAUAGAAAAAAAUAUAGAGAUUGAUUUUUAUUUAAAUUAAAUGCUAAGAAGUUGUUAUCCUUUCUGAAUUUCUUGUAGUCAAAGAUAGAGAAUAUGAUUGGCUCUCUAGAAUAUGCAUAAGAUAAAAUAUAGAGAAAUUGUUCAAAUAUAGAAAGAUAUGGAGAUCGAUUUUUGUUCAAACGAAAAUACCGUCAUAAUUUAGAGAGUUAGGCCUUGUUUAGCUAUGAAAACUUUUUGGAUUUCGUUACUGUAUCACUUUCGUUUAUUUGUGGCAAAUAUUAUCAAAUCAUAGAUUAACUAGGGUCAAAAAAUUCGUCUCGUGAUUUACAGAUAAACUGUGUAAUUAGUUUUUAUUUUCAUCUAUAUUUAAUGCUUCAUGCAUGUGCAGCAAGAUUCGAUGUGACGGAAAAUCUUGGGUGAACUCAACGAGACCUUAGUCGAGGCUUGGAGACGCUCUGUCCCCCGGCGUCGGCAUCGGAGUAGCGGUGGUGAAAACCAAUUCCGUACGUGCAAUGCCAGAAGUCGAGUCUCGCAACGUCGGCACCGUUUUUUAUUUACCAAACACAUACCACAGUGUAACUUAAUGUCCGUACGUUGUUACGGGUUUUAAAAUUCACAUACUUUAUAUUUCUUCAUUGUUAUUUUAUUUUUUCUGUAUAUAUUCUUCCUUUUUCAUUUCUUUUCAGUUUUCGUUUUUCGAUUUUAUUUUAUUUCCUGUCCUUUUCUUAUUCUUUUCUUGUUUUAAUUUUACCUUUUAUUUUCUUUUUCUUUUGGUUUUAGUUUUAUGGUUCUUCCUUGCUUCUAUUUGUUUUUUUUUUCUUUUAAGAUUUUCUAUGUUUCUUCAUUCUUAUUUUAUAUUUUAAUUCCUUUUAAUCUUAUUUUUACUCUUAUUUAAAUUAUUCAUUUAUUUUAUUGCUCUAUGUACUUUUUAUCAUUUGUUAAUCAUGUUUGUUUUUAUAUUUUUCUUCUUAGUAAUUUUUUUAUUUUUAUUUUCUAUAUAUAUGCGAUGUUUAUGUAGUAUAUAUUUAAUGUUCUAUGUUGUGUUAUGUCAUGUUUACGUAGUAUACAUGUGAUGUUCUAUGAUGUUUCUUAUGGUGUUCACUUAGUAUACAUGUAAUUUAUAAUAGAUGUGAUGUUCUAUAAUAUAUUUAAUGAUGUUCUAUGAUGUAUUUAGUGAUGUUAAUUUUCUAUAACUAUAUUUACGAUAUUUGAAAAGUAACCCUUUGAUAUUAUUUAAAAUUUUUCUCCAUUUUGUGUUUUAUUUUUUCUUAUGCUUUUUACUCUCGAUUUUAUAAUUAUUUUUAUCUAUGCCAUGUAUUUAUGUAUUUUUAUGUAUAUUGUAAUAUCAGUUUCAUAAACCUAAAACCAAAAUACUAUUCUUCUAAAUCGAUAACAUUUUUUUACAAAGACAGAACAUUGUCUGUUGAACCUAGAAUAUUGUCUCUACUUAAUAAAAUAAAAUAUUUUAUCUUUAUAAGAUAAAUAUUCAUUAAUAAAAUUUUAUCUAAAUAUAUCCAUGUGUGAUCUUGUUUUGAAGGAUUUGUUAUAAGGAAUUUAAUGGUGCAAUCGGAAUUUAAUUUAUAUUUUUGGUUUAUGAGUUAUGACUUUUUUUAAUUCGCUAAAACAAUUUUGCAUGUAUAGAGGCCUAGGUUGAUGGGAUAGCAUGUCAUCGCGCAGUAAAAAAGACCACCGAAGGAAUGAGAGUUGUGGACGGGUUCUUUCCAUAAUUUUUAGUUGUAGAGAUAAAUAUUCAUUAAUAAAAUUUUAUCUAAAUAUAUCCAUGUGUGAUCUUGUUUUAAAGGAUUUCUUAUAAAAAAAUUAAUGGUGCAAUCGAAAUUUAAUUUAUAUCUUCGGUUUAAGAGUUAUGAUUUUUCUUAAUUCGCUAAAAUAAUUUUGCAUGCAUGGGCGAGUAGAGCCUGAAUUGAUGAGAUAGCCUAUCAUCAUAUAGAAAAAGGGGAGUUGUGGCGUAGAUCGUAAUACCUCAAACCUUCUCUUUCAGCGCUGCAAAAAAAAAAAUACAUCGUGGCCAACGGCCUUGAUCUCUUCGUCUUCGCCACUCCUCUUCCCGCACAGGCAAAGCUCAUGUUCCUCCGCCGCCGCCUCCUCUCCACCGCUGCCGCGGCGGCCUCCGCCCGCGGCCCACCGCCGAUCCGCGUGUCCCUAACGGAGUCCGCGGGCCGCGGCGUUUUCGCCACCCGCCCAGUCUCCUCUGGCGAGCUCCUCCACUCGGCGCAGCCCCUCGUCUCCCACCCAUCCCACUCACUGCUCCACGAGGUGAGGUGACCGCUCCUCCCCGCUCCUUGCCCCUGCCAGUGGAACCAACCAACUGGACUGUUCUGGGAUCAGGUUUGCUACAAUUGCCUCAGGAGGAAGCCCGGGGAAGGGCGCGCUUCAAGCGGAGGUUACUACUUCUGCAGCGACACUUGCAGCGACCACGCCAAGGUGGUACCUUUCUGCCCAUUUCCUUAGUGAUUUUUGCAUAUCUGCGCAAAGUUUUGCUAGGCGCUAGGCGGAAUCUAGGCGAUGACCCCUAGCCUAGGGACUAGUCGAGCCUAGGCUAGCCUAGGCGACGCUAGGCGUUUUGCCAAUUUAUAUAUAAAUAUAUAAUAUAUACAUUUAUAGGCACAAAUCAUGAAUAAUUUAGAUAAAAAACAGGGAAGGAUCAGUAGACAUACCUUAGGUCCUUUGUAUGAUUACUGAAUUUCCUGUAGCAAUGCUGCAAUAGAAGUGGACAGCACUUUAAGAUGCAAUUGGGCAUCAAUAUAAGUGGUACAAAAAUAGAAAAUAGCAAGUUAGGUACUUAUCUGAGGUCUGAUCCUUCUCCCAUCCAAUCUCAUCACUUCAGCAACAUUGGAUAGCCUUUUGAAAUCACAAACAUGAAGGGACAGCAGACAGCAACAGCAACACAGAAUAUAAAAACUAACAGUACAUUCCAUCACAUGAUUGAUGAUCCUCAGUUCUCACAACACAAAACACAAGCACAUAGCAGGAGUUCUAAGUUCAUAAGUUAAAGAUACAUGGAUGCAGGAUGCAUAAGCAUAAUAAAAGCUAAAACAUGACAUGAAGCUGUCUCACACUUCUUCAGUAGGGUUCAUCCAUCACAUAGUCAUCCUCAUCUUCAUCAAACUCUUCUUCUUCGGACUGGAACUCUUCUCCUUCAUAGAGCUCUCUCACCCUUGCACUUCUACGUGGCUGUAGUUGUUCUUCUGCUCCCACUGCAUCUCCAAGCACAGACCAAGGUAUCCUUGUACCUUCCAUGAGUUCCUCAUCUUCAUCAUCUCUAAAAACAACUGCUGCCAAAUCAUCUCCAUUCUCUUGGAGGAAACCUUGAGCUUCAGUUGUGUCACUAGACAAGAGAACAUCAGUAAUUUUCUUUGACUUAAUCUUUGCUCUCUUAUUAAGCAGCCUGUUGUUGAAUUGAAUGUAGACCAACUUGCUGAGGCGGUCUACAGUAAGUCUGUUUCUCCUUUUAGUGUGCACUGCAUCAAACCCACUCCAAUUUCUUUCACAACCAGAAGAGCUUGAUGUCAAAGAUAGGAUCCUUGUAGCCAUCUUCUGUAGAGCUGGUGUUUCAGUUCCAUACAGCCGCCACCAUGAUGCUGAAAUAAACACUAUUAAUUAGUAGUUAUAGCAGAUUUUCUUGUUAGAUGAUCACAACAAACAGCCAUGUAUAAUCAUGAAACAACUUUUACCUGGAUUAUAUUCAAAGUUUUCAAAAGUCCUUGCAAGUUUCUUGUUAAAUGGUCCUUCUCUAUUCUGAAACUUCUGGAGUUCAACAUUGGCAGCUUGUUCUUGCAUUUCCUCAUCAUGAUAAUAAAAAGUCUCCACACAACUGAUAAAACCUACUGUUAUUUUGGGGACAUCAAAAAUUGAUGGAUCAACAUAACUAUAGUGUGGAUUCAGCAAAUAAGCUGCCAAAUGCAAUGGAGAAUCAAGUCUUCCAGCCAUCUUCUUCUCAACAAUAGCAAUAACAUCCUUGAAACGGGACUCAACAUUGCCAAACGCCUCUUUGAUCUGUCUCUUUGCCUUCAAUAGUUCUCCAUAUACGAAACCCAUGGAUGGCUUCACAUCUCCAUCAACCAAACGAAGAACUUUGAACAAUGGCUCAAAAACAGCCAAUGUCAACUUCACAUCCUUCCAAAAAUUUGGAUUCAAUAUAGUUGCUGUAGCAUUUUUUCCCUUCUUUGAUUUCACAUCCUUCAGUGAGUCCCACCUACUAUGAACCACCAUCUUUCUUAGCUGGUCCUUCUUCUCUUGUAUGCUUUCCAAAGUCAGAAAGUUUGAAGCAAACCUAGUCACUCCUGGCCUUACUAUCUCUCUCCCCUCAGUGAAGUAUCUCAUGCACUCUAGUGUUCUUGUGUGCCCAUAGACAAAUAUGGUGAAUGCCUUUGCUUGGUCAACCACCUUCUUGAAUCGAGGAAUGUUGCCAAUUUCUUGGAGCAUCAAGUUGAUUGUGUGAGCUGCACAAGAGGUCCAAAAGAUCUGUGGUCUCUUCUCAUGCAGCAGCUUCUUUGCUCCCAUGUUGUUAGAAGCAUUGUCAGUCACAACUUGUACCACAUCAUCCUCACCAACUAACUCAAUUGCUUUGUCCACUAGUUCAAAUAUGACUUCACUUGUGUGUGACACAUCUGACAUCUCUUUUGAGGAAAUAAAACUGGUUCCAUCAGCACAAUUAGUGCACACAUUCAUUAUGCUUCUCCUCUUCUUAUCUGACCAAGCAUCGGUCAUAAUAGAGCACCCAUUCUUCAUCUUCUCGGCUUCACGUUCUUGCAGCAAACUCUUGGUUCUUGCAUGUUCUUCUUCUAGCAAUCUCCCUCUCAGGUCAAACAUAGUUGGAGGUUCAAUUCCAGGCCCAAAUUGUCCAAUUGCUUCACACAUUUGCUUGAACUCAUCGUUGUCACAAGCAUUGAAUGGUAUUGCUGCCAGUGUUACAAAAUUAGUGCAGUACUGCAGCAAUAGGUAGUAGCAUAGCAUCCAAUGAAAUCUGAAAUAAAAAAACAGCAAGGAAAUUACCAUGGUUAUAGGCCCAUCUUGCGAUAUAUUUAUGCACCUCAUGUAAUCUUUCUUUCCAAAGUUCCUUGUUCAGCUUCUGUUGAGUCAAAGAUUCAGAUUUGGUUGCUGUAGGAUCAAUAGCUCUUGUCCAUUUAUCCAUGGGGCCUAAUUUGUGAGGCUCUGAACUUCCAACACAAGUGACUUCCUCUGAGGUUCCAACCCUAGAUACAUGAACUUCCUCUCUAAGUUCUAGCUCACGAACAGUCUUCUCCUCCCUCUUCCUUUUUGCUUCAUCUAGUGCUUUCUUACACUUUUCUUGAGCCUCCUUUAACUUAUCUUUGGAGGUCUUCGUGCCCUGGCAUUUCUUUGCAUUCUUUCCUUCCUGAGCGAUAUGCUGCUUCAACCGAUAAACCCCUCCAUACAUGACCUUGUCACAGAGUAUGCACUUCACCUGGUCCUUGUUGUUUGGAUUAACAAGAACCCCAAACUCCCAUCCCACAUCAUCUGAGUUCCUUCUCAAGACAUUCGCUUUGGCUGUUGCACUUUCAGAGUCAGGUUGACCCCCUGUUUCUGUCAUCUGAACAAUCAACAAAUUACAAACAUACACAUGCAAUCUGAUUUCAGAACAAGCAGUCAAACAAAUUACAAACAUACACUUUCAAUCAGUAUGCCUGUAGGCUGUAGCAAUCAGCAAAUCUGAGUUUCAGUUUCAGAACAUGCAAUCUGAUUUCAUUUCAGAACAAGCAGUCAAGCAAUCAGAUAUAAUCACAGAACCAGAGCAUGCAUGUCAGUUCAGUUAGUUCAAGCAGGAAACAAAUCAAGAAACAGAGAGCAGGAAACAAAUCAAGAAACAGAGCAGAUCAUCCACCAUCCAGUUCAAGGGAGCAGAGUAGGGGAGGACCGAGGACAUACCUUUGGCUUCGGGCGUCGGCCUUGGGGGCUGGGGCUCCACCUGAGGGAGAUGCCCUUCGAAGCUUCAAUGUGGGGAGGAAGACGAGCUGGGCGGAGACCGGGGAGGACGGAGGAGUGGAGGAGAGGACGAGGUUGGAGCGGACUGGCCGUCGGGGAGGAGUGCCGCGCCGGCGGAAGCUGCUUCCUGGCGGAGAGGAGCGUCGCGUGGCAGCGGAAUAGCGUCGUGCGCGGCUUCUGUAUCCCUACGCGGCCUUAUCCGUCGCGCGCGCGGCAAAUUUCCAGCGGCGCCAAGCUUUCCCGCGCGCGCGCUCGCCCGCCGCCGCCUAACAUUUUGCCGCUCGCGCGCGCUCGCCUGCCGGCUGCCUCGCGUCGAUUAUGCGCCGCCUAGGGCUUCUGGGCGUCGGCGGAGCGGCGCCUAGGCGCUCCCGUCGACUUGAGGGGCGACUACCCUCCUAGUCCAGGCGCCGGGCCUUAGCCUAGCGAUUAGUCGCGACUAGGCGCAUCCUAAUCGUCGACUUUCAAAACUUUGUAUCUGCGUGGAUCUCACCUUGGUGCAUAUUCUUGUGAUGCUUAGUUGCUCUCUACGCCUCACUAACUGUUAGUAGCUAGUGAAAUCUACAAGUGUUCAUGUCUCAACAUUCAGUUAGGUCUUGGUAUAAUAGUGUGUUCGAAGUUCGAACACUAUGUGAUAGUCGUAUUUCCAGUUAUGUAUUGUGUUUGUGGAAAUGCAAUGUGGAUUCUACCUCGUGGAUCUUUAAUUUUCCUUUACAUGUUAUUUGCCUGCCGUAGAAUAAAAUAAAAGAAAGCAAAAAUGUUCAGCAUUUGAGGCUGGAUUUUGCUAACAAUACGUGUGAUUUCCACCAAUCUAGGGGUUCCAUGACAUUGACAAGGACGUAGAUUGGUCUUUAUUCGAUUACCACUGCAGGUAUGAUAGUACCCGCCUUUCAUCUUUCUGCAGAUGUGCACCUCUUGACUUCUUCAUUUUGUGUUUUUCUGUUUUAAAGUUCACGUGGUCUGAAGUACCCAUACAUGGCCAAGCGCCUUGCUUGCAUGGUUAUAUCAGGAUCUGCUAAUGCAGAUUGUCUUAACAUACUUCAGCCAGCUCGGUUGCACCAAGGGACGCUGAUUGAGGUAGUGACUCCUCUCCUUCCAGGUCACCCUGAACUCAGUUCUGGUAUUAUUGUUGUUAUUAUCACACCAUAAUAAUACAGUGAUCACAAAGUUAUUUUGGUUCAAUAUUUAUUUUAGCAAUGUUAUAUUACAGAUGAAGGAGGAAUUUGAGUUGUUGGAGUCCACUCUUAGAAAAGCUGGGUUUCAGGAAGAAGCCACAGCCUGUAUCCUUCAAUUUGUUUCCUCUCAUUGCGACUAUUCUUAGUUUCUUACAACUGAAUGUUGAGAAAAUUGGGUCUGUCAUAGAGUUCUUGUUUCAGUUCUCUUCAAAUUUGGUUGCCUUUGACAAAAUUAGUUUUGACCAUAGAUUGGUACAUCAAUGUAUUGGCAAGAAUACGCAUAAAUGCAUUUCGUAUUGAAUUAGUUGCAAGUUCAUAUGAGGAUCUCUUAUCCUCAGCGGCAGCCUCCGUAUCAUGUGAUUCAUCAGUUGGCAAUGCAGUUUAUAUGCUCCCCUCUUUCUACAACCAUGACUGUGGUAUGCUCUUCACCUAUGCAUUUGGAAUGAAUGCAUUUUUUUUAUCAUCUUCACUAUUUAAAUUUCGUUUUGCUAGCAGUGAUUCAGUUGAUAGGUUGACCAACUAAACUCCAGGAUUUGUCACCACCCUUGUGGUAUGGUGCUUGUUCACUAUGCUACUUAACUUGUCAUGUCAAUAUUAGACUAAUAGUCUUCUGUUGCAUUCAUUAGUGGAUGUAUCUGCUAAACUACUCUCAAUAUAAGGACAUAUUUAGCUAAGCUUUGUAUGCAUGGUAAUGUAAUAGUGACAGGAGUAUAGCAUUUGAUACAAUAGCAGAAUUUUUUAGGCUGCUUUAUAUAACCCUUUUUUCAUUAUGCAUUAAUGAUUCAAAUAUGCACUUUUGUUUGUGUUGACUAUCAGAUCCAAAUGCUCACAUAGUUUGGCUGGAUAGUGCUGAUGCGAAAUUGAAGGCCCUCCGUGACAUUGAAGAAGGUAUGGAGAAGUGCAGUGAUACCUUUAUGGCUAUACAGGAGUUCUGUUAGACUGGCAACCUCGUGCACAGUUAAAAACCAAAAGUCAUCUGCUAUAGGUGAGGAGCUGCGCAUCUGCUACAAAACUGUUGUAUUGAGUUGUUGCAUCUGUUAUAGGUGAGGAGCUGCGCAUCUGCUACAUCGAUACUAGCCUAGAUGCCGACGCUAGACAGAAGAUUCUUGCUGAUGGAUUUGGCUUCAAGUGCCAUUGCCUUCGGUGCUUAUCUGGAGACUAGAAAUCAUGUUUGAGGAGAUUGUCUUUGAUUGAAGCAGCUUGAGGUUGGUACUGAAUACCAUCUUGCAGAAUCUUACAGAGUUGCAAUCUUCUGUACACUAGUUACAGCCAUGCCAAUUGAAUUCUUGAGGUUAAGCACUACUUUGGCUUUUGCACUUCCCCACUACGACAUGCUAGAAAGCCAGCAAUGCUGAUAUAUUUACUUGAAAGUGGCGAAAGUUGUGUUGUAAUGUUGUAGCCGUCUUUGUUUUGCUUCUUUUUCAGUCUUUAGUGUCAGAAAAUAAAAUUUUGAUAAUACUCAGAUCAUUUCAAUAUCGGUAAUGCUGAGCCAAGGGCGUUCGACGCCUCGGACACGCGUCAGACAUCGGCUCGACCGUGCACCCACAACGCUUCACCGACCACACCUGCGUCACCUUAUGUGCUUGCCCGUCACCGCGCACACCAGUCACUCGGUCUCUCAUCGGCUCCUCUCGCUUCCCCAUUCUCUUGUUGCUAUGUUGUCGCCCUUCGCUCCCUCCUUCCUUCCCCUGAGCAAUCUCCAUGCCACCGGAGAAGAGGACAACAACAGAAGCAUUCGGUGAACCACCCAUGCCUUCCUUCUUCCUCCCUCUCUUUCCUCCAUCUGUGACCUCUAUGCUCCAAGAGAGGAGGGCGACAAUGGUGGCUUCUGGCAAGCUGACUCCCCUCCCUCCCUGCAUCCCUCCUUUGCUCCGCGACCUCCACGCAACCGGAGAGGAGGUCGACGAUGGUGGCUUCGUGCGAAGUAGGUGGAUCUUUCUCUAGAUCUAAGUCGUCCCCCUCAUUCUCCUCUGGAUUUGAGCUCUCCUCCUUCCCAUCUUACUCAUCCUCUGGAUCUAAGGGACACAAGCAGUGGUUAGGGUUCUAGCAAGCUAUGUUGCAGUAGGCUUCGCAACUGGAGAGGAGGUCGACGAUGGUGGCUUCAUGCGAAGAAGGUGGAUCCUUCUCUGGAUCUAAGUCCCCCCCCCCCCCCUCAUUCUCCUCCUCUAGAUUUGAGCUCUCCUCCUCCUCCUCUUACUCAUCCUCUGGAUCUGGAUCUAAGGGACGCAAGCGGUGGUUAGGGUUCUAGCAAGCUAUGCUGCAGUUUUGCUGUUGCACAUGCCUUUUUUCUUUUGUUGCAUUAGUUUUUUUUACUGAUGUUGCCACUCUAUUCGCUGGUCUGGAAAGUCAUGGCUGGUUGUUGGCUGAUUUAUUGUGAGAGAAAAACACUGCUGGCUGGCAGAAAAAAUACGGCUGAUAAGACAAGCGAACGGGCUGCAGUAACUUAGUUUGAUGUUGCAACAAGUAAUUUUUCUCUAGACAUGUUGCAAGCGUUUGGAUCUAGAUGUUGCAUGGUAUUUUUUGCAAGUGUUUCAUUAGCAUGUUUUGAGUGUUCAACUGUUUUAUACUAAUAUUGCAAGUGUUUCAUUUAGAUGUUUCAAAAGUAUAUCUGGUGUUGCAGAAUGUGUUUCAGAUGCAUGCUUGAUAUGUUUCAUCUCCCUUCAAACGUAUGUUGCAAACGUUAUAUCUGGAUGUUUCAAAAGUAAAUCGGGUGUUACAUCCCUGUUGGCAUCUGUUGCCUCUCUCCCUCUUUUGGAUGGUGGCUUAGCCACCUUUCUCUAGUCGGUUGCUGCAGCUGUUGGCCGCAUGCAUGCAUGUGAGCAGCGGAGGGGGUGCGACUGUGCGAGCGGGGACUCCCUGGGUGUAGUUGUGGCAAUACGAGUGGGUCGAAGCGGUGUGAUCUCGCGUGACGAACGCGGGAUGCAGGUGCGCGCGGGGAGGAGUGCAGGUAUGGGCGUCCGGUUCCAUCUGGGUGCUAGCAGUACCGUUUGAAUAUCAGAAGACGUUGUAACUGUAGUUGAGGUAGCAUUACAUAUAAAUAUAUCUACUAAAUCAAGGUAGUGUCAUAUCGAGCUGGGGUGCCUAAAACAAGGUACUACUAAAGCAAGGCAUGUUAUCUACUAGGUAGUGUCGUAUCGAGCUGGGGUGCCUAAAACAAGGUAGACAGAUAGUGUCAUAUCUACUAAAGCAAGGCAUGUGCAUAAAGGAUUUUUUUUUGGGGAGGGGGGAUAUGCAUAAGGCCUUGUUUAGAUGUAGUCGGAUUCGUAUCAAUCCAUAUAUGUUGAGAUGGAUUGGAGUGGAACUUGAACUAAAUUCCACCUCAAUCCACUCAAACACAUGUGGAUUGAGGUGAAUCCGACAACAUCCAAACAAGGCCUAAAAGAAUUAGGAGAACUGAUGUGCAUCGUGUACUAUUCGUUAUAAUAUUACUAAUGAAGCAGGCAGGUGACUGAAGCUUCUGCUCCGCUGUAUUUUUGUUGCAAACGGAUUACGCAUUGUGAAAUACAGAAGAGGCAUGUGCAUUGUUUUAAUUAAGAUAUGGUCUGGAAUGGGCGACUGUAUUUUCCAGCCAAGAACAAAAUUUUUGUGGAUCGUUUUGAAUUGUUAAAACUUUUUUCUCGAGUAUAUAUCGAUGCUCGUUAAAAAAACAAAAAAAAAGUGCAAGGCUACCUGAAACAAUGGAACCUUUUUUGUUAGCUCGAAAGUACUUGCUGAGAAAAAAAAAAGAAGAUAUAGUAGUAAUGAUCAAAACUCUUGUGUGCACAUUUAUCUCAUUGGUUGCCAUGUCCAUGGAUGAAGAAUGAUUUAAGGCUCUGUUUAGUUCCCCACCCAAAAUUUUUUCAUCCAUCCCAUCGAAUCUUUGGACAC
rnacentral:lncRNA from 1 species